UUUGAUUUUCUCACGUAAGAUAAGACACCAGGUUUGCAAGUGCAUUCCUAGCAUAAAAACACCGGCUCCAAUCCAAUUACCAGGUUGGCAAGUUUCAAAGUCCCUGCAUUGAACAUUUUUUCAUAACUUGUUAGAUUAUAAUUGAAAAAACCCAGAGAACACUCAUUCAUUCUUGACACCGACAAACUCGGUACUCUCCUCUCCUAGGGCAAUGAAAAUUUUCUUGUUGUACCAUACAAAACACCGACAAACAGCUCAGGAAUUCCUUGAUGCAAUGAAUAAUAUGAUCAACUUAACUCUUGAUGCAGUUAACCCAGAAAGAAAAUUCCCAUAACGAUGCACAUCAUUUCACAUCCCAACCUUCACAAUGAAGAUGUUACUUCCACCAGAUUUGAUCAAACAGGAACACGCAUGCAUCAACUACUUCUCAGAUGAGGUGAUAAAAAACAUCUCGAGUCCACUACACAUCCCAGGAAGCACAGGUACUUCGCGUCUCUUGCGCGGCAGCGUGGUGCUAGCCGGACAACACAUCGGCGUGGGCAUGGCACAACCCUGAGCUGCCGGUGGAUGUACACGACGCUGCUUAGAUCCACCGUUGCCAUCUACAACGUGGAGAUUGAGGAGAGGUAAGGAGGUGGAAGGUGUGGGGCGGGGCGGGGCUGGUCGAGAUCAAGGGGGCGUCCAUUUAUAGAGUAGACGAGAGGAGAGGAGAGGGGAGCGUAGGCAGCGAUGGGAUGAACGGACGGAUGCGUCGGUUUGGGAAGAGGAUAGAACUAAUGGGGUGCCUAGUUUCAAGGAGGAAGACGAGGGAAUCAAGGGAGGCUCUCUUGAUGGAAGGAAGGAAGGAAGGAAAGAGGUGUAUUCAUCCAGCCGUGGAAAACGCUAGCUGCAUGCAGUAAUUAUUCCUUUAAUUUCCUUGUCGCCAGAUUGACGCACACGCGCGAUGGAUUCCCUCUCUGACUCUCUCUAUGGUAUGGUAUGGUAUGUACUGCACAAACGAUUUAGUCCCAGCGCUCCCAGAAAUUACGCCGGCCACGUAAAGGUAGCCAGGCACUUUCCAUGUGUGUAUGCAGUAACUUCUUCCCAUUUGCUCGUGUCAGUUUUUAUUUUUUUAGGGAAUUUGCUCGUGUCUGUAUCUUUAUUUUUAUCUGUUUGAAGGAAUUUGCUCAUCUAAGACAAGACUCGUUCUCUAUAUAGCCAGGUGGGUUUUUUCUGUUCACAAUUUGAUUUUCUCAUGUAAGAUAAGACACCAGGUUUGCAAGUGCAUUCCUAGCAUAAAAGGUUUUUCUGUUCACAAUUUGAUUUUCUCACGUAAGAUAAGACACCAGGUUUGCAAGUGCAUUCCUAGCAUAAAAACACCGGCUCCAAUCCAAUUACCAGGUUGGCAAGUUUCAAAGUCCCUGCAUUGAACAUUUUUUCAUAACUUGUUAGAUUAUAAUUGAAAAAACCCAGAGAACACUCAUUCAUUCUUGACACCGACAAACUCGGUACUCUCCUCUCCUAGGGCAAUGAAAAUUUUCUUGUUGUACCAUACAAAACACCGACAAACAGCUCAGGAAUUCCUUGAUGCAAUGACUAAUAUGAUCAACUUAACUCUUGAUGCAGUUAACCCAGAAAGAAAAUUCCCAUAACGAUGCACAUCAUUUCACAUCCCAACCUUCACAAUGAAGAUGUUACUUCCACCAGAUAUGAUCAAACAGGAACACGCAUGCAUGUGCGCGCGCACACACAGCGCAGUGCAAUACAUCUUCACCAAAACAAAGUUAAAUAUCUAUGUCAUCAACUACUUCUCAGAUGAGAUGAUAAAAAACAUCUCGAGUCCACUACACAUCCCAGGAAGCACAGGUACUUCGCGUCCUUCCAUCACAAACAUUACAACAUGACAGAGCCAAACUACUACAUACAUGGCUUAAUUCUGAAACCUAACCCAUCAAUGGAGAAAGCUCGAGGACGACGCCGCCAUCCAGUGCAUCUUUAUCAGCAGAGAAAGCCCGAGGACGACUGCACCAUCCAGUGCAUCUUCAUCAGCGGAGAGAGCCCGAGGACAACGACGCCAUCCAGUGCAUCUUCAUCAGCGAAGAAAGCACGAGGACGACGGCGCCAUCGUGUGCAUCUUCAAGCCCAAACCGCGUCAACUUCUGCAGCACCGCUUGGCAAGAGAAAAUGACCGGUGUCGCGCGCGAUGGAGAUUUUCCAUCAUGUCCGGUAGGUUUGAUGGACGAAAGGAGUAUCUUCCCGAGGAAUGCAAUCUGGGUGGACAUAAAAAGAUCAGUCUAGUGCAGAGGCAAUGUAAUGCAUCAGAGGAAUGUCAGAUUUCUCAGCAGUAAGCCACACAACAAUUCUCUUGUGUCAAAGGGAAUUUAUAGGAAUUAACAAGACAACAUCUUCCCCUAAAAACAAUGCAUACUUAUUCACCAGCCUAGGAAUGCAAAGUGCUCGUUCCAGUUCCACACAAUGAAAGUUAAGUGUUGGACCUGAUCAAGACAAGACAAAAUUGCCAUAGAUAGGCUCACUUGUGUGACCAGCAGAAGAAUUUUCGCUACAAGAUCUCAUCUUGGCUUGUCAAAUCUCAUACUAGACAAAUUGUUGGACACUAGUGAAAACAAGCAACAUCUCCGGGUAAUUGACGACCGGGACACGCAGGACAUGAGAGAGAGAGAGAGAGCAAAGAGAGAUACCUUGACGAUCUCCAUGGUGUCGGCAGCGGGGUCGGAGCAGCUGCUGCGUCCAUGGAAGAGGAGGCACACAGUGGUCUACGCCUGAGGACACCAACAUUAUCAAGUUAGUAUGUGUCGUUAGUAUCAACCUGAAGAUAAAUCUGCUGCAGAGUUUUCAGUUUUCUGAAGAAAGAAGGAACUAAAAGUUUCAGGUUUCUGCAGUUUAGUCGUCUCUGAACAUAAAUUGCAGCAAGCAAGCAAGCAAAUAUGGAUAGGCAUGAGAGGGAGUAAGGGCCACUGAUGAUGAAUGCUGAACUAGGAUGAGCAGAGCCUGCACUCACCACCCACAUAGAAGGCAAUAACAGAAUCCCUUCCCCUGGCAUGAGCUUCGGAUCAGCGGUGGCAUAUGAUCUUGCCUAUUGAGGAUCCUCCAUGGACAAGGGAAGGUGUCAUCAGACCACCGCAGUCCAAUUAGUGCUAUACGGCCUGCACAAGGAUCACAUGAGACAUGCAUGGUGAAUGCUACAGAAAAACAAGACAAGCGUUUGCUCAAUACAGAAAAACAAGACAAGCGUUUCCUCCAUCGUGGGAGCAGCGGCGACCCGGGAAUAAGCAGACCCGGAGGAGCGAAGCAGCGGUCUUCUAGGUCAAAUCGAAACAACCACACAAGCACUUGACAAAGCAGCAUCACAAGCUGCCAAAAUGCAACAUCACAAGCACUUGAGUUAUAGUCAAGACCGUCGACAAAAGGGAACAUCAGGCCAUAGUAAGGUUGCUGCGAUGGUGAUUCGAUAAAACAUCACAUACUUUUCUGUACACAGGGCUCCUCUUUUCGUCCUUGAGGGAGUUCUUCUCCUCCACCAAAUCCAUCAUCUCCUCUUUCAAAACAUUGUUAUCAGCGGGAUGGAGUGCUCCUUCCCUGAGGCGGGCGUCUGGAACGGCGGUUCAUAUCAUGUCCUCAAUGUCCUGCACUCCACCUUGGUCAUCAUUGAGGGUCUCUGUUGGGCAAACAUCAACGUCAAAGCAGAGAAAUGGAGUCACACCAAUGGACAUGGCAGCAUUUAAGAAAUGGAAAUACAUAACUAGUACUCCCUCUGUAAAGAAAUAUAAGAGCGUUUACAUCACCGCUUUAGUGAUCUAGACGCACUUAUAUUUGUUUACAGAGGGAGUAUAUGUGAUAGUGUUACCAGUGCAAGAGAGAGAAAUUGCAAUCUUACGCAGUUUGAAUAUCAUGUUAUCUUACUAUUACAAGUGUGUGUUUAUUAUAAACGACAUGGCAGGCAGCUCAGGUCUGCACCUGUCAUCAUUUUGCCCAUACAUAUACAUACAUACAGCAAGAGAGGCAAAACUUAGCAGAUUGGAAGGCUUGUUGUACAGGGGCGUGAUCACAAACGAAAUAGUAGAGUAGUAUUUCAGGAUGCUGCUAUAUAUUCUGUAGCAAACAAAGUUGUACGCUCCAUACAAAGUGAUGUAAUAAGACUAGACAUAAUUGCCAUAGAAAGGCUAGCAUGUGGGAAUCGCUACAAGAGCUCAUGUUGUCUUGUCAAAUCUCAUACUGGGCACACACACACAAAUUGUUGCACUAGUGAAAACAAGCAGCAUCUAUGGGUACGUAAUUGAUGGCCGGGACACACACGACAUAAGAUAUACCUUAAGGAGCUCCAUGGCGUGGACGCCCAUGGAAGAGGCGGCACACAACAGUCUGCGCCUGAGGACACCAACAUUAUCAAGUUAGUAUGCUUGGUUAGUAUCAUCAACCUGAAGAUAAAUCUGCUGCAGAGUUUUCAGUUUCCUGAAGAAGGAAGGAACUAAAAGUUUCAGAUUUCUGCAGUUUUGUCUGUCUGUGAAGAUAAGUUGCAGCAAGCAAGCAAGCAGGCAAAAUAUGGAGUAUCAAGUUUCCUAGUGCUCCGUCAAAUUGUAAGAUUUGCUAUGCAUGCUCGUGUCAGUAUUUUAUUUUAGUUUUUGAAGGAAUUUGCUCAUGUGAAGAUUUCGGUAUGAGAUACAUGGAGCUUUUUCAGAGUUGUUUUUUUCUUUCUGUAAUACAUGUGAAGACUUGGGUAUGAAAAAUGGAGCUUUUUUCAUAGUGAAAAGUGAUAUUUUUGGUGUCGUUUUGUUGUUGCUCUAAUCGGCAUGUAUCUCAUACUGGAAGACUUUGGUAAUUGAUGGUCGGGACAUGAGAGAGAGCAGACUGAGUUACCUUGACGGUCUCCAUGGCGUCCGCAGCGGCAGCGGGGUCUCGGAACAGCAACAUUACCAAGUUAGUAUCAACCUGAAGAAUAAUCUGCAGAGUUGUCAGUUUUUCUGAAGAAGGAAGUAAAAGUAUGAGAUUUUUUGUAGUUCUGUCUAGCUCCGUCCGAAUACAAGUUGCAGCAGCAAGCAAACACGGAUAGAUGGGCGUUGACAAGCUUACCGUGAUUAUUUUGCAGCCAGUGCCGAACAACGUCGUGCCUCGUUGGUCGAAGGGAGACACACACGAUGAGCCCCUUGUCCUCUGCAUUAACCGGGGAUGAUGCAGUACCGAAUCAAUCAUGCUGCUGCACAAGGACAUGAUAAAUAACAAAUCUUGAGUCAAAUGGAAAAUCUUGAGCUCCAAUCAUAAUGAGAGAAAAGAGGAAAUCAUGUCAAUGAUCCUGAAACAAUAGCAUAAGGCAAAAGAAUAGGAGUAUUUUAGCAUAAGGCAAUGAUCUUGAAAACAGCGGGCAAUCGAGCUGUCUAAGCCCAAACAAUAGCAAAUGUGGAGAACACAUUUGCAACACAGAGACACGCAUUGGUGAUUUCGUGCGGACAUGUCAAGAGCACAACACACACAUGGGGUUGAGAUGAACAUGAGAAGAGAACAUUACUACAGUAGAAAGCAUGAUGAUAUGUGGCAGCCUAUAUGAUUGGAGCUGUAGCAACAAGGGAGCUGAAUUACACGUCCUAACUAAACCCAGGACCAAUGGCUCGGUUAUGAGACAAUUGACAUGCAAGCCUAGCACAUAGGCAAGCAGAUUACUCUGAAUUUCCUCUCCAACACAUGUCUGAAUCUGGCUGUUGCUAUGUGUGGGCGUGUGUUGCGAAACUGAAACUAUGAAUUUCCUCUCGAAUACAAGUCUGAAUCUGGCCUACUAUCAUUCGUGUACCUCACCUCCCCCAAAUCGAUCUCUUAAUUUGUAGUUGCAAAACUGAAAGUUAAGUGUUGGAAUCAAUCGAGCCAAGACAAAACAAGCAUAGAUAGGCUCACUUGUGUGACCAGCAGAAGAAUCAUCGCUACAAGAGCUCAUUGUGUCUUGUUGAAUCUCAUACUCCCUCCGUCCCAAAAUAAGUGGCUCAACUUUGUUCAAACUUUAGUACAAAGUUGAGUCACUUUUUUUGGGACGGAGGGAGUACUACACACGCGCGCACACGCACACGCACGGUUGCACUAGUGAAAAGAGGCAACACCUCCGGGUAAUUGAUGGCCGGGACAUGAGAGAGAGCAGAGUGAGAUACCUGGACGGGCUCCAUGGCGUCCGCAGCGGCAGCGGGGUCGGAACAGCAACAUUGCCAAUUUAGUAUCAACCUGAAGAAUAAUCUGCAGACUUGUUAGUUUUUUCUGAAAAAGGAAGUAAAAGUAUGAGAUUUUUGCAGUUUUGUCUAGCUCCGUCUGAAUACAAGUUGCAGCAGCAAGCAAACACGGAUAGAUGGGCGUUGACAAGCAGAGCAGAGCAUACCUUCCAUGGCGACCUGGGAAGAAGCAGAGCCUCCUUGUAUGCCUGCGCGCUUGAUGCAUCAGGGAGUGCAGCGGAGGACCUCCAUGUCCAUGGAGAAGACCGGAGUUGUUGGUGACCCUUCCAUGGCGUCGUCCUGCUCCUCCUGGUAAUGGUCAUGGAGACGGGGGUGGGUCAGAGAGGGAGAAGAGACCAGACCGGGGAUGGGUUGGGAUGGGAUGGGAUGGGUGAAGAGGAGGGAUUCGUACCCAUGGCUGCGCCUCCUGCCUGCGGAUCCUGAUGGCCGCGGGCUAGGGUCCAUGGCUUGGCUCCUCCGCCGCCGCCGCCUCUCCUGGAUCAUGGAGGAGGAUGGUGCCGUGGAUCUUGGCGCGCAGCUCGAGCCGGGGACAUGCCCACGACCCUAUCCACGGGGAUUGGGAGGGGUUGCGCGCGGUAGCCGUGAAUCUGGCCGGAGAGGAGGAAGGACCGGAGUGAGGGGGUGUCGGCGGUGUGCUGCGUGCCGCCGAAACUCGCCGGAAUCGCGGCGGCGGCGAGGGGAGAGAGAUGGGUGGGGGAUGGGAAUGGGAUUCGCCUCUUUUCAAUAUUAUCUUUCCUUUCCUUUUCUCUUGUCUUCAAAACUUACUUUUGAGCAAGGAGACACAAAUUUUGAGAGACGAGCGCGCGUAAAUGCAGCGGACUCUUAAUUGGUCAAUGGACUUUACCCAUGGAUCGACACUGUCUAUUUAACCAAUCUCGUUCGUCCAUCGACAUCUGACGGCCCGCAGAAUCGAUCGUGGGGAGCUGGCCGGAAGGAAGAAGCACAGAUAUGCUUGGGUUGGAUCUCCAUGGUCUUUGCCCCAUCUCGUCCGCCCGUCCGUCGACAUCGGGUGGCCCGCGGAAUCAAUCGUGAGCAGCUGGCGGGGAUGGAUCGGUGGGAGUCUCCCUCAUUGGUCGGUAGCGAUUACCCACGGAUCGAUCGCCUCUCUGGCCAAUCCCAGCCAUGCGCCACAUCCAAACAUACGUGGGGGUUUCGUUUCGGUUGUUGCUCCAUCAUCGUGAAUGGUCGACCCACUGAUGGAUGCCUGGCGUGGGGCGGUGGCGAUGUGUUCAAUCCAUCGAGAGAUGGUCAUAGCUAGUCGCGGCGACAUGGGUCACAACACGUGUCUCUCGCCUAAGUCUAUGCAUGUAUGGGUCACAGCAUGUGUCUCUGGCCUAAGUAUGUAUGUACAUGUUUUUAUUUAUUUAUUCUCGAUCUGAAAAAAAUAAGAAUGGAUAGAUGUGCUCGCUUCCAUGAAAAAAAAUUGAUGGUGCAGCAAGCAAGCAAGCAAGCAGUCCGCGCGCGUGGGCGAAUUAUUCUACAUGAUAUAACAAAGGGAUCAAGCCAAAGGGAUAAACUGCAAUUAAGCCAAAGGGAUCAAGCAAAUACUUGUAUCACACAGGGAAGGUGGUUGAGUAGUGCUGUCCUGGACCUCAUCCCUUCCCCUCCUCCUCCUCCUCCUCCCUCUCCCAGUCGUACCUCUUCUUUACUUCCUCUACCUGUCACAGUUGCAAGUAAAUUGGAAGGCUCUGUUUUCAUUGCAAAUCACAGUUGCUCUCUACUCCAGUUUCUAGCACUCUUCUUGUAUCGUACUACUUGUCAUAAUGUACUAUAUCAAUAAGAUGCUUCAUUUACAAUGUAUUGUACUGGAGGCUACUCCAUUUAUAAUUUACUAUGCUUCUAAUAAUGUAUAUCAUUACUAGCGUCGAGUAUUGUAUUUACACCAAUGGAAAUAAGAUUACUGCAUUGAUACUUACUGCUUCUUUUUCGCGUAUCUACUGGUUUUUGCUAUGAUGGUAAUUUUAUUUCCAUAGUUACUAAUAAUAAAUAUUUUUUUUUCAUUUCUUAAUAAAUCUAACCAACUCUCAGGUAUAUACGCAUGUCUCAACUACUCCCUCCGUUUCUAAAUAUAAGAUUUUUUAGAGAUUACAAUAAAGAAUACAUAUGGAGCAAAAUGUGUGAAUCUACGCUAUGAAAUACGUCUAUAUACACCCGUACGUAGUCCUUAUUGAAAUCUCUAAAAUGUCUUAUAUUUAGAGACGGAGGGCGUAACAAGACUAUCCUAUGACCGAGUUGACCCCUAGAAACCAGAUUCCCAUUUCAAAAGCCUCCCGUGCAUGAAAAUUUUACCACAAACAUUGAGUCCUAAACUUCUUUUUUGGGUAUAUAUUGUAGAAAGAAUAGAGAGGAAGGUUGACAAAAUGAGGUGGGUUCUAUUGUGGUAUCGCUUGAGCCCCGUGGACGUAUUUAUAGGAGUACAUGAUCAACUUGGAGUAUAAGACAAGUUAGAACAAAUCCUAAUAUAUCCUAUAUUUUCUAAUAAUCACAAUACUCAACAUCCCUCCACAGUCACAAAGGUAGCGACGCAGACGGUGAGACAGGAGAAGAAUCCUAAGGUAAGCCGAUGGACACCAUCCCCCCUCCCUAGUCAUAACGAUCGAUGCAUAGCAGAAGAUGUGGCUGGAGUGAAACCGAUGAGAUUGCUCCAUCAAGUCGUCCCUUUGUGCCGAUGUCAAUCUAACCGAGAGCGUAGGAUGGUGUAUCCAUGUUUGAGGUAGCCAUGCGAGGGAUGACAUGGUCGAUGUCAACUCGGGGUGGUCGAUGUUGAGUUAGUCGCCAUGGCGCCGCAGGCGCAAGGAAGCGCCGUGGUAGUCUUCGGAGCAGUGUUGUCGAGGUAGUGGUGCGCCGGGAAGAAGACGGUGUUGAUGAGUUGUCACGCUAGGUUUGUCAAGGCCAGGGACACGUCAUAGACAAAGGCACGCGUCGGUGUUGCCAGCCUCGGGCAUGCUAGACGGACGAACUCGAUGUUGACGAGGUGCCACACCAAGCUUACCAGGCCCGAGGACACAUCAUGGACGAAGGCACACGUCGGUGUUGCCAGCACUUGGCAUGCCUAGAUGAGGAUCCGCAUGAGUUAUAUGCCAUUGUAACACCCCUAUGUAAGGAGCUAAAGUGAUCAUCAUAAGCUACUUUGAUUAACUAGUCUUGAUCAACGUUGAUUCAUAUCUUAUUUAAAUUCCACUUUAAAUCAAAUUCAAAUUGUAAGAGGAAUUAAGAAUUUCAGAAAUAAGAAAACUAAAAAGUUCACGCAAUGGCAAAUAAUCAUUGAAUAAUUGUCAUGGUGAAACCAAUAUUUUAUAUAAAGUAAUUAAAUACCCUAAAACAAUUAAAACACGGUACAAAACAAUAUUUUAAUUGCUUUUGAAAUUAUAAGAAUUCUAAAGUAAUGUAAAAGCCUCCCAAACUUUUCCUGGCAUUGUCCAAAAUUGCACUUUAAAUAAUGGGCCAAGUUCCUACUUUUACUAAACAUAUUUGCUAUUUAAAAUAAUUAAAAAACAGAAUUAAAUAAAUGAAAACAGAAAAAUAAAAAUAAAAAGAAAUAGUUUAAGAAAAAGAAAAGUGGCACUGUGUCGGCCCAGCCCACCGAUCGUGUUGGCUUCAACAUAGCUACAGUGGCCGACCGAGGGCACGAGCGCCGCUCGUCCCCGUCGGACCACCUCAUCAGCUUCGCCGUGGGAGGAUAAGUCUGCCACCCACACGGCCCCUCGGACUCCUCCCCUCUCACUCACUUACCCCCUAGACUAGAUCCCCCCUCUUCCUUUAGCUCCCUGCGUCGAACUGGAGAAGCGCCCGAUGCGACCGUCGCCGACGCCCCGUCGAUCCCGCGGCCAUCUUCACCCCUGCGCCUCCCCGUCAUGUCAUAGAGUGCCGCUGCAUGCUACCUCGAGCUGGAACUGGGGACCCCUGCAAUGCCGCCCCGACCUCUUCUUCCUCCUUGGGCACCACCGCAGUCGCCAUCGAUUCGGCGCCAUGAGCCUCCCCCGAGCCGACGUUUGCACCUCUACAGGCUCCCUGUGAGUUUCCGCUCGGAUCCCCUUCGUCUCCCCCAUCCUUCCGCGCCAUAGCUCGCCUCGCCGCCAUGGCCGCACCCAAUGUCACGGUAGAGCUCGCUGCCGUGGCCACUGCUCGCGUCCGAGCACCGCAUCGUGCUCAGCUUCUCCCUAGCAACCCAACGCCACCAUCCACUGCCUUUGUCGUGCCCCAUAGCGACGAAGAUCAGCAAACGCCACCACCGCCGCCGAUGAUGUUCCGCUCAACUCCGACCAUCUCAGCCACUCCCACCGACACCAAACAAUGCGACAUCGCUUGCUCUUUUGAACGAGCCAACCAACGGGGCCGGAGACUCCCUGUGCGCAUAUUCCGGCCAACUACGGCACGUCACCACCUUGAAAUCGAGUCGCUGGAACCCCUCUAGCACCGCCAUAGAUAUGGCUGGCUUGGGGCCCACCCAUGUGUCACUGCCAGUGGGCCCCAGGGGCCUAGCUGACCCGUUGACCCCGGUCAACUGUGCUGACUGGGCAGCACAGUCACUGACUGGUGGGCCACCCACCUAAUUAACUAAAAUGUUAAUUAAUUUAAUUGGUUAAAUUUAAUUAGACACUGACAAAAUGGGCCCUAAUAACUAAUUUGCUUAAUUACUUAAAUUGAAACCUAUUAAUUUUUAUUGAGUCACUAACAAUGGGGUUCCACUUGUCAGUUUGACUAGUCAACUGCCAAUGUUGACUACUCACUGGGCUUUGACUUGCCCCACAUGUCAGCCUAUGAAGCACAUCAUAACAUUUAGUAUUUAAUGUAUUUUCGAAUUAACUUAAUUACAAUUUUUUUGGAAAAUCAUUUAAACUCCGAAAAAUCAUAUAAAGUAAUAUAUAACUGAGAUGAAAAUAAGUUAUAUAUGAAAAUUUCUAAGAAAAAUAUAAAAAAUCCAAAAAUGAUAUCCACUCAUCUGUCCGAUAACUGCCAAACGCUGGGAAAACAUUUCUAGAUGUUUUCCCGCUUCGUCUGUAACGUGUAGCACUAUGUUAGAUCACCGCUAGGUCAGCAUAUUUCCAUGUCAUGCAUCAUGAUGCAUUUAUUUGCUUUAUAUUUGUUGUUUCUCCCCCUCUCCUCUCCGGUAGACCCCGAGACUGACGAUGGUCCUAGGUAUGACUACACACCUGACGAUCAGCCCUUUUUCAUAGAGCUUCCAGGCAAGAAAAAGCCCCUUGAUCAUUCCUAUAUCGCCCAUACUUUCUCUCUCAUGCUUGCAUUCGAUUUUGCUAAUGUUGUUGAUAACUCCUAUUGUGAUGCAUAGCCUGCUUUUGUAACCUGCUGUUGUUACUUUACCUGAUAUCCUAUAUGCUUAGUAUAGGUUAGUUAGUGAUCCAUCAGUGACCCUUCGCCUUGUCCCUGUUGCCCCCGCUUUAUUACCGAAUGAAUCGAUCAAUGUGAUCGACGUACUGAGACCAACACAUCACCGCACCCCCCCCUUAGUUGUACAACUCUGUAGAGAUACUACCGAGUGCCGAGGGUGAUACCUCGAAAUGCACUCCUGAUAAUAUCUCUGUAGUGUAGCUAAUCGGUUGUGGAUUAUGGAGGGUGAUUCCUCCUUCACCACUCCCAAUAUUGACUCUGUCGUGCAGUUCUUCAAGUGUGAACCUACCGUGGGUGAUUCCUCCAAGUUCACCUUGAUGGUUACAUCGAGUGGGAAUCGAUCAAGGGUGAUUCCUACAAUUCCUCCUUGGUGUUAUCGACACACACUUACCUUUACCUGUUCCCGUCAACUGUUUCUGUGGGACUGAAGGGACAGAUGGUACCACCCCAGUAGAGGUGGACCUGAGUUCCUGAUAGUCUCUUGUGACUGAGGAUGACCUGGAGGGUACCUGUGAGAUAAUUACGAGGCACGGCCGGGCAUUCUUGGCCCUUGCCGUAAGUUCGAGAGACAGAGCAAUAGGACCACGGAUCAUGGAUCAUUGAUCCUCUCCACGCUCUCCCAAGACACUAAUUGAUUUGGAUAUGUGCACUGUUCUAUAAUUCAUCCGAUUAAUCAGUAAAUUGGCUAGUUAAUCGCUACUCAUCAGGUGGCCGAAUCGAAUAACACCUAUUCAUCAUGUUAACUUGCCAGUCCGAUUAAAUGGUCUAUUAGACCGGUUAAAUGGUCUGUUAGACCGAUUAGUCGGUUGUUAGGCCGAUUAAUCGAUGUCGGCCCGCUAACUCAUGGGCAUACAAAGCCCAAUUAUUUGGCCCGUAACCCCUCUCAGCCCAUACAAAGCCCGAUUAUUUUAUUAAAGUCAAUUGUGCUAAUAAUAUGCAAAGCCCCAAGCUUGGGGAUGCUAAUUUUUAUACGUCCACUACUUAUUGCAAUUAUCAUGAUUCGGGUGAUUAUUCUUAUGAUAUUGAAAGUUUAUUUAAGCCUCAUGAUGAAUAUCGUUGUGAUAAUAUUGAAAAUGGGUUUGGAAGAUUGUCAACUCUAGGUAAUAAUGAUCCCACUAAUUUGUAGAAUGAUCCCAAGCUUGGAGACGCGACAAUAGUAGUGUAUCGUGAUGCAGAAGGAAACUACCUCAGCAGCUCUUCCCUGGCGUAACCAAUGUAGCAUUUUAGGAUUAUUUGUUUUCAUAAGAGCAAGUACAAUAGCAGGCUUAUAGCCUGCUUACAUGGCAAUUUUGUCGACAUGGAGGAGAGAGACAUGAAAAAGUAAGCGGAGUGAGCUCUCAUGCAAGAGCCUAACUAUAUGCGUGCUUCAAGGCAGAUGCAAUAAAUACGAAGAAAGAGAUAGAGAGAUGAGGAAAAAUAGUAAUCUUAUAGCCAACCUUAUAGCUAACCUUAUUGUAUGAGUGACUAUAUGAAUUGGCUAUAAAUGAUAUGACAACAUCUUAUAGCUAGCAAUUUGUUGUAUUAUUAAUCAUGCUCUAAUGUUCCUAAUGCAUCAAUACGAAGAGAGUACUAGUAAAGCAGUGACAAGUAAUGUGGAUAGAAGAGAGUAACGCAAUUUCACAAAUAUGACAACAAUCUCAUUAAUGAUAGCAUGUGGCUAUCUAGCCAGGGCCGAGUAAUAAAUGAGGGCCAUCAGGAAGUUCGCUGGCACGUUACGAGCUCAGAUUUAUUUGUUGAGCACCUUGCGAACGAUCAAUCACCAUACUCCCUUUAAAUUGUCAGUUUACAUAUCAAUUUUCAUGCAUUUUCACCACCAAAGGGAUUUUAGACACGUUUGGUUUAAUGCCCAAUUAAUUAGGGCGUGACAACCGCAAUCAAUCCCACAAAUUUCUCUCCAUGCAGGUGUGUAUGCGAGGUAGAAUAAAUGCAUGCAUGUGUGUACGUGUUAAUUUCCCAAAUUGUUAGGCGCCGUGGUAUAACCAUAGAUGAUAUUUUUCAGUUUAAUCGCUAAUCAUUUGGUUUCAGAGAUUGUUGAAGCGCGCCGGACUGUGACAAGAGAGUAUUUCACGCCUGUCCAUGCACAGGAUUUUUUAUACUAUCUAUGUCUUGGUUACAGGUCACCGUAUUUUGGAUCAUUUCUUAAUCAUGAUUUGAACUAAUAAAAUCUAAGCUAUACAUUAAAAAAUAAUAUCAUUGGAAACUACAUUCAAAUAUGAAUCCAACAAUAUUAUUUGAUUUGUUGUGACAUGCAUUGACAAUUUGCUAGUCAAAUAUGUGAUUAAAUUUUGACUUAAAAUAUGGGAGGGACUAAUAAACCCUACUCCAAAGUCGAAAGUAUUUUUUUGCGCCUACUCAAAAGUUGGCGAUACUUAUUUUCACAACCGUCUAUAGGUGAGCAAUAAAGGUGCAAUAAAGACCGUCCCAUCCCCUGUAUCAGCCAAAGAUUGAAUUAUAUUAUAAUGGCAUCUAUGCAGCUCAACUACCGCGUGCCAAGCCCAUGCGUGAGUAAAUACGGCAGGCGCAGCUCAAUCCAUCAAGCCAUGGCAGACUUGCUCCUCCUAACCCUGCUUCCCUUGGCUCUCCUCUUCCUCCUCCUCCACCAUGCAUCGCCAAUCAAAGCCCUUCUCACGAGGGCCAAGUCGGUUCUGGCACCGGAGCUCUCCACGGUGUGGAAGCCACAGCCAGCUAGCAUCUUCGUCACGGACCCCGAGACGGCGCACAGCCUUCUCGUGCGUGGCAGCGCCGCUGGCUCCUUCUCCAACCGCCCACCGUCCAUUUCUCCCAGCGCCAUCCUCUCGCGCCGUCAAUACCAGAACAUCACCUCCGCUCCCUACGGUGAGCACUGGCGCGCCAUUCGUCACAACCUCACAUCGGAGGUCCUCCACCCAACGCAGCUCCACCGGCACGCGUCAGCGCGCCGCCGUGCACUACAUGGACUCGUCGUGGACCUCGCCGAGCAGAGGAAAGACGGCGUGGUUCACGCGGCGGAGAGCAUCCGCUACGCUAUGUUUGUCCUGGUGGCCAACAUGUGUUUCGGCGACGACAUCGACAAUAACCGCGUCCGUGCCAUGGCCGACGCUCAGAGUGACCUCGUCAAGUCCCUAUCUACGGCGCGCGUGUUCGCGCACGCCAUGCUCCCCGCACUGACCAGGCUCAUUUAUCGUAAUCGGUGGAAGAAGCUAGCCGCCCUGCGACAGCAGCAGGAGCAGACGUACCUACCACUCAUCGACUCCCGUCGCGGCCGGCACCGGCGACCCAGCGAGACGCCGGUGUAUGUGGACACGCUCAUCGAUCUCAAGGUGCCGGACGACCACAGUCAGGACCCAAGGCGGCAUCGAAGAAGGCUGUCCGAUGGUGAACUCGUCGGCAUGUGCUCCUAGUUCCUUGGUGCUGGAACUGAAACGACAGCAUCAGCGCUGCAGUGGAUCAUGGCCAACUUGGUGAAGCGUCCCGACAUACAGGAGGCCGUCCGGAAGGAGAUCAAUGCCGUCGUGGGUGCGGACGCCGAUGAAGUCAGCGAGGUUGUUCUUGGGAAGCUGGAGUACCUGCACGCUGUCAUCAUGGAGGCACUCCGGCUGCAUCCGCCGACGUCUUUUGCGUUCAGGCAGGUGAUGGAAGAGGAUCAUGUGGUUCACAAUGGCCAGCGUAUUCCAGUGGGCACAAAAGUGUACUUCCCACUGGCUGCUAUAGCACGAGACAGGAUAGCGUGGGAUAACCCUGACGAGUUCAAGCCACAACGGUUCCUGUCCUGCAAGGAUGCAUCCCAAGGAACCGACGGCACGAUCAAAAUGAUGCCUUUCGGCGGUGGUCGGAGGAUGUGCCCUGGUAGGGGUGUCGCAAUGCUGCACUUAAGCUACUUCACCGCCAACCUUGUGAGGGACUUCCGGUGGAGGGAGGGAGAAGGUGAGCUUGCUGUCGAUCUCCAGCCGCAUGUUGAGAUCUUCACUGUCAUGAAGCGGCCAUUGCGUGCUCACCUAGAGCUUGAAAGGACAGAGAUCAAAACUAGUUAAUUAGCUGGGCUGAUCAAGGUUUCUUGGUUGUACUGUGUUUGCUAAAUGCUAAUAACGAACCAUAUGAAUGUUUUUUGAGCGUCAGUUGAUUCCUCCCCCGUACGCACGCUAAGUGUCGAGCGAAGACGAAGCGUGGCCUGCGAGGACUUGCCAAGAAUGAAUCGGAGCAGGCAACAAAGCCGCUACAUCAUAGGCGGAGGUGAGAUAGAGGCUUUACUAGUUUGGGUGAUGGGCGGUUCCCGGCAUAAAGAACAAAUGGAAUACAUGAUUAUGUUAUCGGUUAAUGCCGUAAUAGUUGUGGUUAAGUCAGCAAUUCCUCAACCCAUGCACUUGAGCAGGCUAGGUAUUUCUUUUAUGAACAUUAUUAUGAAGAUCAUUAAAAUUGUUAACCAUUAAAAACACUUUGUCAAUAGGGAAAAAUAAUAUAUGCAUGAUGAAUGUUAUGCAUAUUUAUAAUUCCGUUUAACAUUUGUAAAUCCACCAAUUAAAUCAUGCUCCUACCUUUAAAAAUAAUCCAGGACCUAUAAUGUACAUGUUAUUUACAUAAAUAGUAAGAUAUUUUAAAUUAAUCAAUCUGGAUACAAAAGCAUAUAUUAAUGUUUGUAGCUUAGCUACCCCAUAGUGUGCGAUGCUCCCUAUUUAUAUCCAUGCAAAACCUUAUACAGUAGGAUACAUGAUCUGUGGCAGAUGAAACUAGCUCCAAUACACUUGUUCAAGUUUUGUUGUGUACAACACCCAUGGCAGAUGAAACUUGUCAAUCUCUACUUGUCGAGUUGACAGUCAUGUCAAUGCGAAAGAAGGCAUAGCUGUCAGCUUGUCACCCUAAAAUCUGAGCAUGUUGACAAUGGAGGUAGGUGAAUUCGUGAUAGAAGAGGAAGAAGAAAAUAAUAAUUGUGUUAUAUCAAAGUAUACAAAUGAGCUUUGUUUCUCAAAAUAAACAUCCUGAAUUCUACAAGGAUAAAAAUAGCAACAAAUAAACCAAAGUCAUCGUCUUAGUAAAUUCUAUUUUCUUUACUAGGUUAAUGUCACGCUUGUGGCAGGGAAGGGAUAGGACACAUCACAUGCAUAUCCAUUAUCCAUGAUGCAAGUGUAUGAACAUGCGUGAAGGAUGUGGGACACCGAAGAAUUAAGUAAGGCUCUAAAGUGUGGGCUAUAAAUUGGCCUAUACAUCAUUCUCAACAUGGUGCAGAAUGGCCAGACUGUCUUAGCUAUACCUUUGCUGGUUUGUCAGGUCAUUAUAACGGGUAGAUGCAGGUUAGUUAAUACAGAUGGAUGCAACGCUACUCCUAUAGAUAUUAUUAUAUGUGAGAUCGAUCGGAUGUGUACUUGUUUGAAUGGUUAUUCUUGCUUGUCAAGCCACUCUUUAUUUGUCUUUUCACAUUCAUAAUAGCUAAACAUCAGUCGCCUGAAAAUCCAAUUUGGUUUGUUCGAUUUUCGCUAGAAGGAAGCAGGUGCCAGAGGGAAGGAAGAAGCAGCUGCUGACUCGCCGGAGUGAAGGAAGGAGCUCCCUAGGAGGCUACCCCAUCAUCUAUCGUUGAUGAAGGGGGGAGGUAGGGGUGGCAGCACGGCGGUGGUGCAAGUUCGCCGGAGAAAAAACUGGUCAUUGCCGGGGCUGGAGGGAUGGCCAGGGGCAGCAGCAUGUCGGUGGGAGGAGGAUGAGGGGUGGGCGGGGCGGUGAGGCUGAGCAGGAGCGCCGCUGGCCGCGGGUGGUGGUGGUCGACGGUUCGGCCGGUGGUCCAUCUGGCGGUUGGAUGGAGAAGAAGAAAGUUGUCUGGAGGAUAAAGAAGUAAUCUGCACCGCCUGUUUUCCAUCCCAUGGCUGAAACGAAAUCAAAAGAACAUAACUGAAAAUUUAGUCGACUUACCACUAGCCAUUCCCUUCUACAUUCUAUGCAGGGCCGGCCCUGAGGGGGGGCAGAGGGGGCGGCCGCCCCGGGCCCCCAGGAUGCAGGGGCCCCCACCCAGGGUACGUAUACAUUAGCCAGCUAGGCUAAGCCCACUACGCACUAGGACAUGGGCUGAACAUGGAGACGCAGGCUGUGUCUAGCCUAAGGCACACAGCGGCUCGUUCCUCGACUCCUCAUCCGAUGUGUAGCUCGUAGCUGUAGCUUUGUCCGCAUGCCUGUUUGGAUGCCUAAUUAUUCCCUUCCGAGUUGGUCAGAUCUAAUUGCGAGUUCGCUUCUUCAAGAGGAUCGCGAUCCUAAUCGCGAGUCGCCGUUUUAUCGGCGACCUUCGCUCCCCAAUCUCCACUGGAGAUGUCAUCCGUCGUCGCCAAGCGUAGACGUACAUCCAAUCCAGACCGCAUCCUCCAACAGAUCCCAGGUUUUAAUUACUAGUAUUCCCUAUCAGCUAAUUAAGUAAUUUAUCUUUGCAUACAUGAUGCCUAUAUUGCGCACAGCAAAGUGUCCUGUGUAUUGCUAUGGAUCCAAACUUGACUGAUACUUGUUCAAAAACUUUUUAAAAAACCUGGUUUUGUUAGAUAUAUUAGUAAAAAUAUGUUAGGUUUCACCCAGUGUAUAUAUCAUUUCUGUUACCAUAAAAAAAUGUUGUGCUAAUCGCUAAGCUAAUGAACUGCUGCAAUGCAGGGAGAUGAUUUUGAAAGCGAGCUUGGUUCAGGGUCUUCCAUUCAUGUUCUAUCAGGGCAACAGUUUUGGUAAUGGCCACUUCACUUGUCACGUUGUACUCAUUGAUGUAACACUCUACAGUGCUUGCCAUAUCCCCCUUGCAUUUUCGACGCUGUAUGAUGACAUCAAUAAUCAUCUUUAUGUAAGUAUGUAUCAAUUUAAUAAUCUUGCAUGCACUCACAAUGAUAGUACAAACUUGGUAACUGAGCCCUGCCCCCUUUUCCAUAGGUGCCAACACAUUUCGAUGUGUACAAAUUUAUAAAAAAAAUAGACCAAUGAAGUUAAGGUAGCAUCAUAAAAAUGACAUUGCUAAAAAAUAAUUCUAAGUAUAAUCCAUACUAUGAUAUUUUUUGUCACUAAAUCACAUUUUAGCACUCAAAUUGUUGGUCAAAAUUAUAUCUCAGUAUGCUUGAAAUUGAACUUCUUACAUGUGUGAAAGGAGCAAGUAACAUGCAUGCAAAAAAAUAAUUUUGAAAUAUUAUAUAUAUAUACCUCAAAUGCACCGAUAUCAUUCAUGAAACGGGAAAUCUUCCCAACUGAUAUGACGACAUCCGGGACACUAGCAGCCCAUUUGAGCGCUGUCUUCAUCAUUGCAUCACUCAUUCCAGCCAUCAUACUCACACAUAUCGUUGGCACACCAAUGUUUAGACUAGUCAACUUGACCUGAUCUACAAAGCUUGGCUUGUGGUUCCUGUGUGACCAUUUCGCUUCUUGUAGGUAACCAGUCACGUUAUUUUGGACCUGCACACAAACAAAGAGAUGUAAUCCCAAAAUUAACGAGAAGAGAGAGAGAGAGAGAGAGAGAGAGAGAGAGAGAGAGAGAGAGAGAUGUUGUGACAGAAAAGGGUACAUGAACUUACCGCUUUUUUCAGGUGUGCUAUAUCGUAGUUCGUAUUGGCUAGCAUUUCAGCCUCAAUAUUCUCAAAUGUCCUCAGCAUCUCCAUAUAGAACUUCUUCAAGUACUCCGGCAGGAGAAAAAUGGCGCUCUUAUCCCAUCUUGAAGGCCAAUUCACAAAAGCAAUCUUAAUACAAGUUAUCGUAGUUUGAAAAUUCUUUGUUUGCAUGUUAACCUAACCUUUUAUUUUUCUAUACUCUUUAUCUUUCUUCAACACAGUAAGAACCACUAGUUUCACUUUGCUCCAUGAGGCAAAUAGUGUAACAUGACAUCAAAAUUUCAUUAUAGGCAAUAUAUCUCAUUUGUUACUGCAUUUAGAUUUUCUUUCAUCCAUAUCUUAUUAUGGCAACUUAUAUGUUUGUGUUAAUAAAAUAAUAAUCUAAUCAUGCAUCACAUUUUCAUUUGAAAUUGCAAUUGUUACCAGAUAGUAGUGAGCAUUAGCUCAUUACUUGUAUGUACCAAUGAGUGCUAUUGUGUUAGGACUUAUGAAAAUUUCAUGUCAACAUGGAAUUUUAGCUGUGGAUCUGCCCGCGCGCGUGGAUGGGGUGGGGGGCACCGGGCAAAUUGAUAAUUCACCAUCGGAUUCAGCUCGUCCACCUCUGGAUGCCGUGAUUAUCCAAAGAAUAGUAAUAUGCUCCUGGUUUGAAGCAUUAUUUGUAUACCAUUUUUUUCUUGAUAGAAUUGCACUCUUAUGGUCACGGCAAUGCAGGGUGUUCAUUUACUUCUUCUUAAAUACUAAAAUAGUUAUUAUCCAGUACAUACAUGUUCGUAAUUACUUUAUUACUUCGAACAUCAUGGAAAAAUCACGUUGCGCACAUAUUUAUGACUGUGAUUGCGAUUGAUUCUAAGGACGUAUUGAUAUGAUAUGGAAUCGCUAUCUUAGUGGAAUAUACAUUAGAUGCAUUGACAAUUUGAGAGAUAAAAUGUAGAGCUAAAUCAAUCCCACCUUUGUAUUGCUUCAUGUAGCUUCCAACUGUCCUCUAGGGUGGCAUGGUUAUCAUAUAUGUCAUCUAAUGUGGUAAUUAGUACAAUCAUCUUUGUGAUCAUACUUCGAGUGAGCUCAAAUUUUGUGUCAUAGUACAACACAGAGGCCCAUGUAUAACCCUCCACCACACGAUCGCGGAUAAAGCUUAGCUCGAUAUAUCCGAAAAAAUGCUUCCACCACCUGUGAAUUAAUUAAGCAAUGUUAUAUGAACUAGUACAUAUAUAGUCCACAUAGAAUAUAACAUCGCUAGCCCCAUUAAGAGAUAAAAGAACAUUGGUCAAUUAUUACUAAAAGCAUGUGCAUUACUCUAUCACUACACCAUUUAUGUAAUUAUCCUACAAUGCACAGAAAACAACGAAACACUAAAGCAUCAUGAACCAUUAAUGAAUAUGCAUUCUCAUAUUGAUGAAAAAAGGCAACCACGUAAGCUCUUAAUUUAGAUGACGUUAAGCACUAGAAAUGUAGUGGUAACUAGACUUUUGGUUUUUUGUUUGUUUGAAGAUGUAGUAUGCGAGGGCAACCACCCGUGAAUCAUUAUUGGGUUAUAUAUUCUGUUUAUAUAAGAAAGAUAAAUAACAUACCUGGUAAUAGCUUUGAGCUCCUUCAAGUGGACAUUUUGCUGAAGGUUGAAAUCCAAUUUGGCAAGCUCCAGUAGGAUUGGGUUAUGCUCCUCUUGUUCGUACUCUAGGAUAUAAUGUAGCAUUUCCACCCUCUUAUUUGUCCUUGGCAUUGGUAUCUGAAGGGCAUGUUGGACUUGUUGAGCAAGUGGGGUCUUUAAACUACCACUACAUGACUCAAGAUGAUGCCUUGCAAAAGCUAUGGCUUCUUCAAGUGCUGGCUCACCAUGAAUUAGAAGAUGAGAUGCAUUGUAUAGACAUAAUAGUGUCCUGGGUUCAUUUGUUAUAUCAUUAAUGAAGCUUCCAUCUUCACUUUUGAAUCGAUUGAAAACAUCUGUAAUCAAUAAAUAAAUGUUGGUGUUCUCGUGACCACAUUGUCAAUGGAGCUUCUAUUGUUGUAGACAUGUCGUCCACAUUAUGAAAUAUUUUGCAAAUAAGGUCACCAAUCUAAUCUUGAUAACUCAAUUUCUUAGCCAGUUAAAAAUUUGCAUAUCAUGAUUUUUCUUCCAUAAUUUUUCGUAACCAACUAUGCAUAACAAGAAAAAAUUGUUAGGAUUAUAUAUACCUGGAGAUACACAGUAUCCAUGUUCCCUCAGCAAGCGAAACCGAAGGGCAACUUCAUAGAGGUUGUAGUUACUAAAUUCACUCUUCAGGAUUUGCCACAUAGCGGUGUCAAUCUGGUCUUCAAAGAGGUGAUCGAUUCCGAGAUGUUGUAGUUUAUCCACUAAGGACAUUUUUACCACUGUGUCAUUGCUGGAUUUAAACAACAUACAUAUGUCUUCCUUCAGUUUUUUUGCCCUAAGCGUCAUCCACUGCUUGGAUUUCUGCAAUGCAAGCAUUGAACAUUUUUAAUUAACCAAAAGGGACAAGGGUUAGCUAGGUAAAAAAAUGUCGCCAAAACCAAAAAUAGUUGAAAAAAUCUAACAACUCGUAUCUCCAGUGAAAGAAAAUGGACCAAAAGUACAUGACUGUAUAGAAUAACCAUAUAUCCUUUCACUGAGUCCAACUUUCCAACAUAUGCCAACCAAAGGCUACCCACAUGUAUCUUCCAAGGGUGUCGGUCGUGGCCAGCAUAUUUAAUUUCAAAAGCAUGCAUGUGGUUUCAAGUUGUUUCCACUCAAGCAUGGAGUUACACUAGACGAUUUACUUAUGACUAUGAGUGGUGUUGAUGAUAUACAAAAUAGACAUCCAAAAUAUGACAAAUUUCUACCGCCGGAUAUGUGAAAUAUAAAGUCUGUACACAUAUUCAGAUACUAUAAGAAGUGUCGACUAGUGAAGUACACGCAAUAAGCAACCGGUUGCCAUGGAUCUCUAGAGGAGCACGGAUGGUAAUUAGAAAUGUGUUCCUACUUGGGCCCGCAAGUGGUGGGUGCAUGGUGUACAUUUUGGCACCUCUUGGGCUGGCCCAGCGUAGGCCGGAGUAGUAGAUACUAGUACAAAAACGCAUACAAUAGUUACAAAUAAAUACCUCUGUGCAUGGUGACAUUUUGUGCCAUAAAUAGUUAGCUUUUAUUAUAUACCUGUAACGGCGGUGGCUCAUAUCCAGCAAAGAAGUCAAUCCAUGGUGAGGGCUCGUAGCUGAACGCAGGAGUAGCAGCAUUGUCGGACGCCAUAGAAAUUAACAGUUGCUUCUUUGUUUCAUAGGUUUAGUAGCUUGGGAUAUAGAUAGCUUUGUUUGGGGAGGAAGGAGAAUGUGUGCGUGAGGCCUUUAAAUAAUGUCCACGCAAUGGCAGGUCCAUGCAUAUUUCUCAUCGUUAGCAGCCGGCCGGCCGAACUAUAAAGGCGACUGCAUGCACUACUAAUCUACCUACCUUCCGGUUGAUUAUCCGGUAGUGCCUUUAGACCCACCCGAUUGAUGGACAUAAAAUCAUCUAUUUCCAACGUGAAGAAAUCUAUUUUAGCUUGCUAUAUUUGUGGCUUGCACUGUUCCUUAGUCAUUUUCUCUGUUUUUUACAUGUCACAUAGUAUUGUCAUGUUUAUGUUCAGAAUUUACAUCCACAUACUUGUAACCAUCCUCUAUAUACAUGAAUAUUUUGUAUUCAUUUAUUUUGAAAAUUGAAUAUUUAUCUUAUUUUUUGGCAGUUUGGAUAUACCUCAGAUCAGAAUAUUCUAGCCCUUUCUGGGUGCGGUUGUUUGUUGUACAUAUACUUAAUAGAAAAAAACUGGUUGCCAAAUUUACAUUCAACUUGUGUUGUAAUCCAAAAUAUCACACUAAUUUAAACUUGAUAGAGCAUGUAAAAAUAACAAUUCAAAACUAUGUUAAUUUGUGUAGAAUGUACAAAGAAAAAUAAUGGACCUGCCAAAGUUAAAUCAAAGUUUACUUUCAGGAAUGUAUUUCUUGUCGCAUGUAUUAUAUUUAUCUUCAUAGGAUGGAUCGUUGGUCAAAGACCAUGGCAGCCCCUAGAUUGCAUCUCAUAGCAGACGCACCAGGAGCAUUACAGAGUUAGCUCAAUGCAUGCAAUUGGCGUGACAAUGUAUAGUCAGCAAAACACUGAUGCCAAUUGUUGUGAUCACUCAUCAUGCAUGCAGGUCUCUUAUGCAUAGAGCCAAUAAUCCAUUGUACAUCAUUUUUCGAUUAUACUACAUCAAGUUUAAGAUGAAUGCAUGAUGCGUAUUAGCAGUCGGGCGAAUUAUACUAGAUAGUCCCUCUUCUGAUUUAUAAGGCCCAAGUGUAUCCCUAAAUUAAUCAUUUAAUCAAAGUAACACCAAAUGUAUAUCACAAAUGGUAUAUCUUUAGAAGUUUUCUAUGGAAUAUUUUUAUUGUGAUAUGUAGUCACAUGUGCCUGCUCCACCAUCAGAGACCCAGCGAGUACAAAAAAACUCUAGAUAGCUAACACUAAUAAUUUAGGGCAUGCAUUCAUUACCAUCGUUAUGCCAUGUUAUUAAAGUAUCAUAGCUUGACGGCAACUCCCCCUACCUAACCAUAGCUGCCCGGUCCAAGAUCUUAACUAUUUUUACCUGUGAUCCAUCGCCUCUACUAAGUCGUGAGGUUGGGAGAUGCAAAUAUUAUAGCUUUUAUUUGAGGUCUUUUUUUUCUUGACUAUGUCAACAACACCAGCGCCUUGCGAAAUACUAGUUCUCCUUCUCCUUAAGUUAUCCUUCUAUGUUGAUCUAGUUUUCAGGAUCAUGUGGUCUAGUAAACAAUGCUAGGGAUUUUCGUUCAUGGUGUGUUGAAUAAACUUUGUGCCCUAUUCCAGAUGGGGAGGGAAUUCAAGAGUUUUUAUUUGCUGAAGAUAAAGAUAAAACAUUUUUUGCUAAAUAAAAAGACAAGCCCACACAUGAGAUACCUUCGGGAACAUUUAUCCUUGGUCAAAUACAACGGCCCGCAAAUUGCAGCGAUGUUUCGUAUAAUUGAAGUUUCAUGGAUCUUAUAGCAGUCUCUCAUGGAUCUUAUAGCAUCGUUGGCUCGGCAGCGGUGGCGGCCGAUUCCCUCGAGACUAAGGCAUAGUUGAGGAUUUACCGCCUGGGCCGGUUGAUCCGGCAGCCAUGAGGUGAGGCGGUAGGACCAGUGAUAUGUAUUUGUCAGUGUGACGGCUCUCGUUGCCAUUCAGUAGUUGCGGUGGUGCGGCAGUGCGAGCGACGGAGGGCGCGGUGGAUCUGACUUUUCAGCGGUACAGUGGUGGUGUCUUUGGCCGGAAGCGGCCGGAUUCGAACGGAUUUGGUAGCAGCAGCUGAGUGGGAGGGGAGGCUUUUCUGCAUGUUCACCUAAGGGAAUGUUCCGGAUGGUGGUUUGACUGCACGCGGCUGCGUUUUUGUUUCGCGGCUGCGCAUGGUGUUGUAUAGUUGCAACACAAGAGGGUGUAUUUUAGGGCUGCCUCUAGUUAGGACCACAAAAAUAUAGAGAUUGGGAAGCUGUUGGAGUACCGUUUUUAUGUCAAAAUGUCGUAAAGAGCAUUUUCUUUGCGCCUCUACUAUAUUUUAAAUCACGUAUUGGAGAUGCUUUAUGUGUGUUCAUUUUCUCCAUAGGUGUCGCCGCCUCCUUCAAAUACUUGGCCCUAAGUGUAUGCAUAUGAGGGCAAAUAUUGGUGGUGCACGAGUCAGGUGAAGGUGCGACCUGGUGCAGCUUAAGCCAUUUGCGAGCGGGUGCAUGGGACGGGUCCUUGACACUUAGGCUGGUCUGGCUCAGCCAUUCGACCGGUUUGGGUGCAGAGAAAAGGAUGGAAAGAGGGAAACUUUGACAUGGCGUAACCAUGACGGGGCUUUUCUUCACCCUCGAUUUAGCAGAUUUUGUCUCCUACAAAACUAUUGGUGCAGGAAUUCAAAAGUUUUAGUUUUCUCUAAGAUGAAGCCGUUGUGUAGGUAAUAUGGUACUGGUUCCUAUUUUGCAUGUCUGCCGUGGUUGUGGUUGUGGAAAUUACUUCAUCUAUCGUUUAGUAGAGAAUUUUCUGGGUCUUGUAAUUCGUUUGGUAACCGUUCUUUUGUCUGGUUUAUCAGCCUAAUGCAAUGUGCCAGUUUCUCAGCAUAGGCCGAGUAGGUGGGUUUCUUUUCGUUUGGACGUGUGGUGCUUAUGAGAUCGCAAACUGACUACAAAGAAAAGGACAUGUACGCGGUGUAAUUUGUGCACUGCUUCUCUUGCCACAUGUUUUAUUGUUAUCUUUAUAUAUAUGAUUGAUACUUUGUCAAAGAUAACAUCGUCUAGAUUGCAUCCACUUUUCAUAGCAGCCGCACCAGCUGGAACAGUAUAAGGCACAUACCAUCGUGAGUGUGACAAUCAGGCCUAUCUUUAUGUAGCUGUGACCACUCAACGCAUGCAUGCGUCGACGUUUCUCACCGUCAAGUAGCAGCCGGAGGAAUCCGGUAUAUGAUCUUGUGCGUACUGGGAAUUCGGUGCGACGUCCACUAGAUCGACUUUAAGAUCUGCUCUUCACUGGGAAUGUUAGCAGCCGGUUGAAUCAUUUUUAGUAUACAUGCCAUGACGUCUUUAUGUUCUGCCCCACUAGUUCAAGAUCCAUGCAUGCAUUCAUACUCUAUUUUUAGCAGCCGAUAGGUGUCACCUUCAACUACAAUGUAUUAUUAGAGGGUAAUAUAUAUGGACGAAAACGUCACAGGACAGUCGGACAUCAACAAAUUACCAUUAGAUUAGAUAGACACGUCUCACCUCCCUGCGUGCCCGCACACUUUGUACCAUGCUAAUUAAUUGUAUGUGAGUAAUUUAAUGUGUUGCUACCUUGGAAAUGUAGUUGCAUUCAGACACAAGAGGAACAUAAAGUAUUUGUAAGGGCCUCCUUUAAGUUGAAAGGAUAAUCCUCCAUCUGCGCCAAACGAAGCUAGCAAUCACAUUGCGCCAUGAAUCUAAAUUUGGCCUCGCGAGGGUGAGCUAACUCCUAUUCAGAUGGCCACGGGUCUAAGCGGGGAAAAAGAAGAGAAAUAAAGGACAACUACCAUGCAGCCUACACUCGAACCCAUGGUGAGGAUGUGAGGCAAAAGAAUAGGAAAAGACUCUGUGUUGUGGCCCUAGAAAGCUCUAAGGAUCAGUUUUGUUUGCAUCCUCGUUGUUUCAAGACUGGCCUGGAGCACGCAUGUGAUCUUCCUGGGCGGUGUUUGUUUAGUUCCUGGAAAAGAUCGUAGUGGCCGGGCCUGGAUAACCAAACAUGACCAGCUAUUAGUCUACCAGGCUUCUGAAUUCCUGGUCCUGCGCACCGGCUAAUAGCUGCCUGGCCUCUAAUACUAGUAUAGGGACUUGUGCCAACCAGUAGGACUCUCUUUAGUUUUUGUGUGGACAUUUAUUCCUUAGUACGAGUACAUCAGUCCAGGUAGGAACCAAACACAUCUCUGCCUAGCUUGCCUGACCAGGCACGAAAGAGCAAAUUCCCAGGUAGAGUACAGGCAGCAAUAUUCUUCAGGCAUGGUGUCCAGGGUAGUAACCAAACUAGCCCUAAAUAAAAAUAUCUAUGACCAAACAUUAUGCAUGUACGUAGGAGGCAAAACUAGGCGUCAAACUGACUUCUAACGUCGGCUCAAUAUCAAAAACAUCAUAUAUAUUCUUGUAAACCUGGUAGAGUAUGUGACAAAAUUAAAAAUCAAUUAAAACAACAAAUUCCUGGUAGCUAGCAUUCAUAACUAAAAGGUACCUUUCUUUUGCUAUUUUCAGGUCUUGUAGUUCAGUUAGUAAUCGAUGUUUUGCCUGAUUUAUUAGUUUAAUGGAAUAUGUAGGUUUUACGUCAUAGUUCGAGUACGACAGUGCUUUCUUGUAACAAGUUUUAGUGUUAUCUUCGUAUGAUUGAUACUAGGCCAAAGACAAUGCUGCCUAGAUUGCAUAGAUGUUUCACAGCAGCCGCUCCAACCAAAACAUUGCAUGGCUAGAUUACAGAAAGGCACAGACCAAUCAUGGGCGUGACAAUGCAUAUAGUAAUCAGGUAUAUCUUGCACGUACUUCGUGGGUGUGACACACAUUAGAUGCAUGCAUGGCGCAUGUUAGCAGCCGGACGAAUGCUGGUGGGAUGCAUGCGAGUUCAAGACAAUCUGCUCAAUAAUUGCGCUAAUGCAUUCAUGUUUGUUGCUUUGUUAGCAGCCGGCGGAGUCACAUUCAACUAUAAUGUUUUAUUUAGAUAUACGGAUGAAAACAUCACAAGGCAGUCACCACUCAAUAGUAUAGUAUUAAGAUUGACACCGCAGUCACCAUUCAUAUAGUCAUUUGCGGUGGCAACUAAAAGAUAUAAUAAAUUUGUUGAGAAAUAUAGGUGCGCUUUGACACAAGAAGAGCAUAAAUAUUUGAAUGCGCCUUCUUUGGGUUAGGGCCAUAGAUAUCUUGUUCCAUGUCCACCAACCGAACCUAGCAAUCACAUUCUUCCAUAGAUCUAAACAAAGAAAGAUAGAAUUAAAAUAUGAUAAGUGGUAGCAUAGUGUCUGUUAGUGGUCUGCCCAUGAUGCAUUAAGCAGCACUAUCAGCUUGGUGGGCAAUUAAACAAGACAUGAGAGAGAGAGAGAGAGAGAGAGAGAGAAAACAAGUGUUGGGUCUAUGCAAUUACCGUAGUCCUUUCAGAAAAUGAGUGACUGAGAUAAUUGUUUUUCUGUGAAAUCUUAUGAGUAGGGCGCACAUUUCCUUUUGAUUCAUAACAAAAAAACAGUUUAUUUUAUGAGAAAAUGUUGGUCAAUAGACUAAACCAGAUGUGAACAGUGCAAAAGCUCAGAGAGUAGAAAAACAUCAAGCUACAUUUGGCCUACAGCAUGCCAAGUCAGUAACCUAGUGCUGCUUGCACGUUUGACGCACCCAUGAAUGCUUGGGCGAGGCCAUUACUGUUAGCAAAGUCAGUCCAAAGGAACCGGAUCUAAUUUGAUAAACCUAGCAGUACAUCUUCCAAAAGGACCCAAAAGAAACAAAUAAGAAGAAAUUAUAGGUCAGUCUUUGCAUUUUACACGGAGGAUAUCAGACCAUGAAAUUAGUUUGAAAUUUGGUCCAUACAACAUGCAUCAAUACAGUAACUAACCCAUCGUCACCAGGGGCAAUUUAAAAAGUGCAAACUUCGUGUUUUGGUACAAUCAAUAGUUUGUGUCAUCCACCAUAAUAUAUUGCAAGUUCAACGAGGUUCUUUUAUUCUUAUUGGUGCAAUGAUACAUAUUGGUAUACAUCAACAAAAGUACAGACAUAUCUACGUGGCAAUGCACGUCCAUCUAUGUCUAUGUGGCAUGGAAACCUCCAUGGGAAAUAGGUAUCAAUUGUAGGUCAUAUUUUCUUCCUACGAUGAUCCCAUAUUUCUCGGUCAUGUCCAAAAAUUCCGGGUUUGCCUUGCCAGGAAGCACCCAGUCGAAGUGGUAGAGAAGAUUUGCCAAGGCGAUCUCCAUAGUUGACGUGCCGAAUAGUAUCCCAGGGCACUGCCUCCGACCAACACCCAGUCGAAUGGGGUGAAUUCAAAGUAUGUCCCAUGGUAAUCCAUGUUAUUGUUCUCAAACGUUUCAGGCUUAAACUCUUCAGGACUUUCCCAACAAUUUGGAUCCCUCGAAACUGCAAACGCGUUAAUGUAUACAUUGGUGCCUUCAAGCAUGUCAAAACCCAUAACUUUACGGUCUUCCCUGGCCCUACGGGGGAUCAAAGGACCUGGUGGAUGCAGUCUAAGAACCUCCUAAAUGAUCAUCCACAUGUAAUGGAGUCCAGCGAGGUCACUAUUAGUAAUCACAGCUCGACCUUGACCUAGCACCUCUCGGAUCUCAAUCUGUGCUUUGGCCAUGGCUUCGGGAUGACGGACGAGCUCAGACAUUGCCCACUCCAAGGCAACUCCCGUGGUCUGUGUGGCACCUGCAAAUAUGUCCUGAAAAAUAUUAUUGUGGUAUGCAUGUUUAUAUAUUAUUUCUGCAUAUGUAGUAGUACGCAACAAAUAAUCAAUUUCAGACACAACAAUUUACGUUUAUAAAUCUAUGAAACAAGUUGAGACUAACAGAUUUAUGAAAUGACGAAGCUAGCUUUUUUUGCAUUAAAACUUUGCAGAUAUGAUAUCACAUCGGUAGAUUAAUAAGAAGCAUAAAGAAAAUUACUCACAAAUAAGACGGCACCUAUACUCUCCGUGGUCAUAGGGAAUGUGAACGCGUCCUUCUCCUGGAGCCUGAGUAGCACGUCCAGCAAGUCAUCAUCGUCGGUGCUGGAGGCACCGUCCUGUGUGGCAGCUCGCGUUGCCUUAUGCCCCUCGAUGACGUCGGCGUUGAUACGUUGGAUGUGGCCAUAGCUCCUCCUCAUGUGGCGCUCUCCCUUGCACAGCCACCGCACCAGCCGCGAUGACGGGAAGAGGUCGACGAGGCAGAAACCACCUAGCAGCACGAACGCCUCAUCCAGCUCCCAGAGGUACUCCUCCUGCUGCGGGAACUUGCCGCCAAACACCGCCCGCGACACCACGUCGUUGCUGAGCGCCAUCACCUUCUCGCUGACGUUGACGACGGCACCCAUGGAUGCCGCGUCUGCGACAUAAUGGAGAAGGCUGCCCACCUGGUCUGGCCUGAUACCGUCCAUACGCCUCACCUGCUUGGAGCUGAGGAGCUCCAUGGUGCAGACCUUGCGCAUCUGGCGCCAUGGGUCACCGUAGGGGGCGAAGACGAUGCCCCUCCCGCCGCAGCCGAAGAUGUCCAGCGUCGCGCUGCGAGGCCGGCCAACAAAGGCAAGGUCAUUGGUCUUCAUCACCAGCGCCGCCGCCUCGGCGCUGGAGACGAUCACCGUUGGGACCUCGCCGAGCAUAAGGUGCAUCAGCGGCCCAUGCCGGCGAGACAUCUCCAUCAUCUUGCGGUGCGGGAGCACGCUGGCGACGUGGUGGAGGCUUCCGAUGAAGGGAAGAGUCCAUGGCCCAGGAGGCAGCUGUGUCUUUCUCUUGCCCCCAGAGAGCAUGCGAAACCAGAGGGCCACAAGCGUGCAUAGAGCUAUGAAACACAAACUUAACCAGCCCUCCAUGGAAGGCUACAAGCUGUUCGCAAGUGCAGCUUGGAGUGAGACCCGGUAUAUUUAUGUGACCACCUACAAGUUCUGUUAAAACUCUGGACCUGCUGACUCAUGAACUUCCUAGUGUAUGCAACUAUAUACAAGUCGAGAUUUAUUGGUGUAGAGAACUAAAUUGGUGGCGGCUAGAUUGUUGAUGACAAAAUUUAGAGAUAGUAUGACAAAAUUUAAAUUAUUGGCGGCUAGAUUGCUGAUGACAAAAAUAGUGUACAGUACUAGACCUCUUUCUUCGCUCUAAAUUAUAUAAAUUCCUAGGUUUGCUAUCAGGCAUACUUUACUAUCAUCAUCAAAUGUACUUUGGUCGUGUUGUAUGUAUUAGCUCAUGAAUUUUUCUACAGAGAAAUUUAACAAGGGAAAACACAAUAACUUCAAUUACUUUGAAAUGGAGAAAGUGGAGUUCGAUACUUCUAAUGACUUUUGCACUAACCCAGGGAGACCAAUUUGCAAUCUUUCAUACUCAGCUAGCAGCCAGAAAAGAGAAACCUUAUCUGCCGGAAGCUUCGCCACAUAGCCGCCAGAAAAAGAGCAUGUAUGUUUUAGUAUUAAAAGAUAUGUCCGGCGGAAAAAACAACUUGUAUGCGUUUUGAAGGAAGAUGCAAUCACAAACCAAACCAGACCCAUAGUGCUAUAAACCAGAACAAUAUUGCCAGAAGCUUCACCACAUAGCUUCCGAAUUCUUUUGUGCAAGAUGCUUGAGUUCGUAAUGCCCGUGCUAAAUUUGGUGAAGUUUGGACAUUCGAUGAGCCAUGUCAAAAAAGACAAAAUGACCUCCGAACAAUGCAGAACAUCAAACUUGCUCACAUGCCUGAUUGUUUUUUGCAGACAGCUCCUAAAAUGUCCAAACUUCACCACAUUUGGCUUACUAGGUCUGGAGAGUUUACAGUUAAAUCAAUGUAUCUUGAUGUUAUUAAUUCAACCUCUCUUCCUAGUUCCAAAUAUGCUUGGGCAGUCAAAGUUCCUCUGAAAAUUAAAGUGUUUAUGUGGUUUGUACAUAAAAGAGUUAUUUAACCAAGGACAAUUUGGUAAAGCAAAAUUGGACAUGACCUACUAGGUGUAGUUUCUGUGAUCAGGAUGAAACCAUCAAACACCUUUUUCUUGAUUGCCCGUUGGCCAAGGUUCUAUGAUGGACGGUCCACAUUGCCUAUAAUAUUACUCCUCCGAGUUCUAUCAGCACGUUAUUUGGAACGUGGCUUAACGGGAUAGAGUCCGAAACAGCGAGACACAUCCGCGUAGGAGUAUGUACUUUAUUAUGGGCAGUCUGAAACUGCAGAAACGAUUUGGUUUUUAACAGAACAAUAAAUAUUCAUUUUUUGCAGGUUAUCUUCCGAGCCACUGCAUUGAUCCGUAUGUGGUCGCUACUCACUCCGACGGAGGCCGGAGAGCAUUUGGUUACUGGAUCUAUCCGGUGGGAGAUGGUAGCGCGGGAUAUUUUCAACCGGUUUGGAUGGCGGUCAUGUAAUAGGAUAGGCAAUUAGUUUACCUAUCUUUCUUUUGCCAGCCGGUUGUGGCGUCUUUUGGCUAGUGUCGUAAUUUUUCUAUGGCUCUUUGUGAGCUUUUCUUUACUUUCAUUACAGACCUUAAGACCUUGUUGAACCUAUUUGCUUAUUUAUAAAGUUGUCCGUAUGCAUCGUUCUGAUGCAGAGGCCGGGGAGUCCCCCCUUUUCGAAAAAAAUACAAGCUUAGUUUGAAAACAUAUAUCAAAAUUACCAUUUAAAAGAAUGCAUAUGUUCAUUUUUUUACAUGUAUACAAGCUUAGUUUGGAAAAACACGCAUGGCACCGGAGGCGGUGGGCGUGUAUAUAUAUAUAUGCAUUCUUUUAAAUGGUAAUUUUGAUAUUUGUUUUUCCAAACUAAGCUUGUAUUUUUUUAGAAACGAUAAAGUUCUUCAUAAAUCCAUUGAAACAUUCUCUAGCAACGCUCAUGAGGAGCAUAUGAGUUCCCUUUUAAUACACAGGCUCGAACUUAUUGUAUUCUGAAUACAUUUCCAUCUAUUCAUUUUUCCCAUGUAAACACGCAGUUGGGCACCAUGUUGCAUCAUUCAACUAUUCUUUAUUACCUCAUCCAGAAAUGUUUCUUUCUGGUUUCCUUGAUUUAACAUAACAAGAUACUUUUUAUAACUUAUCCGCGCAUGUAUAUGCUCAGAUUGUGGUGACCACAUGUCUCCUACGUACUCCCUCCGUUCCUAAAUAUAAGUCUUUGUAGAGAUUCCACUAUGGACUACAUACGGAGCAAAAUGAGUGAACCCGCACUCUAAAAUGCAUCUAUAUACAUCCGUAUGUGGUUUAUAGUGAAAUCUCUACAAAGACUUAUAUUUAGGAACAGAGGGAGUACUAACUAAAGUUUGAUGGAUUAUUGCAUGAUUGCGAUGCUUAUCUGCUCAUUUAUUUUUACAGUUGGUGAUCAGAUCGGAUUCGAGGAUCAUCGUCUCUCAUGUGUUACGUAUUAGUGAUCCUACAUGAUAGUGGAGAAUGUACGAAUAUGCAGCGUUGACAGUAACAAGGAAAAAUGGAUGUUUUAUUUUGUUUGUUUGGCUCUGAGAUAUAUUAAAAUUGGACAUAUCCAGGUCUGACUUGUUUUUUCAUAGAGGACACAGCUGCCUACUUGGACAUAUUUGGCCUUUAACCAUAUCUUUUGUUUGUCGCCUUCCAUGUUAUUAUUUUGAUAAAGUUUGAUUUCUUCCUUUCCUAUGCUGUAGAUACUUCUUCUCUUGCAACUGAAAGUACUUCUUCUGAUUACAGUGAGGCGGCUUGAUUAAUCAUUGGCCUCAUGGCAAAAUUGGGGACGGAGGAGGGAGGUGGCUUCAUAUAAGCAUGACUCCAAAAGAUCAGGGUAUGUAUGCCAGCAUGCACUGGAGUUGUUGGAUAAGUUCCUUUUUGUCAAAACACAUUUCAUUUUGUUAUUAGAAUGCUGGCCUGGUGUACACUGAUCAGUUGUGGUAUUCUUUCCCUGUGCAGGAGAUCAAACCGAAGAAAGAUAACACUCAACGCAACAUGCUCGUGUCGAUGAUAUGGGUGCAGAGGAAGAGUGUGUGGAUGAUCAGUGAGAGCAGGUACGUGCUUACCAGCCAGCGCAAGAGCAUCUGGUGGGCCCGGUAGAUCCCCAGGGAGGAGUAGGCGGGCGUAUAUUGUCCAUUUCUUCUGUAAAAAAAUGUCACUCUACACAAUAUAAUUGUUUAGAACAACACAUACUCGACUAAUCAUCCUUUAUAAAUCAACAGGCUUGUACGAGAUGUUAAAAUGUGUUCCUAUCUGUCUACCAUUAUUCCUCUAUUUUAUAAGUGUUAAUUUCAUUGAUUUCUUACUUAUAUGUAUAUACUGAUUGCAGAUUUGCUAGAAUGUCACUUUGCAAGACAUAUGAUCCAAUCCAUGUUUUGUCCUUACAAAUAGAUAAAUGCAUGAAGGCAUUGAGAUAGGUGGUGCAGAUGCUUACUUGUUGUCAACAUUAGAUGGUGGUUUGGUAAGUGACUAUUUUGAAAAAUAUUUUCUCAGUCUAACAUGUACACUAUAUUCACAUAGUAGCCUUGCUUCUGCACCCCAUCUCUCUCUAUAGCCUGUAUCUGCACCGCUCUUUGAUCUAAUUUUUGUCCCAAAAUCUUAGGCAGUUUGUUCCCUAUAAAAUAACAUGUAGCAUCAAAAUUUGGAUUUUCAAAAGGUUCUUACAAACUGAAUUUUAUCGAUACCACAUUCAUGAUAAUUUGUCAAUUUGUGUUUGCUUCCAAACACCCUGGCAUAUUAUAAUUUUGAAUAGGAGAGUCACUAGUAUACCUCUACUUGACUAGCUCAUUGAUCAAAGAUGGUUAUGUUUCCUAACCAUAUACAUGAGUUGUUAUUUGAUUAACGGGAUCACAUCAUUAGGAGAAUGAUGUGUUUGACUUGACCCAUUCCGUUAGCUUAGCACUUGAUCGUUUUAGUAUUCUGCUAUUGCUUUCUUCAUGACUUAUACAUGUUCCUAUAACUAUGAGAUUAUGCAACUCCCUUUUACCGGAGGAACACUUUGUGUGCUACCAAACGUCACAACGUAUCUGGGUGAUUAUAAAGGUGCUCUUGUACUUGUUGGGUUGGUGUAUUUCGAGACUAGGUUUUGUCACUCCGAUUGUCGGAGAGGUAUCUCUGGGCCAUCUCGGUAAUGCACAUCACUAUAAGCCUUGCAACCAUUGUAACUAAUGAGUUAGUUGCGGGAUGAUGUAUUACGGAACGAGUAAAGAGACUUUCCGGUAACGAGAUUGAACUAGGUAUUUAGAUACCGACGAUCGAAUCUCGGGCAAGUAACAUACCGAUUUCAAAGGGAACAACGUAUGUUGUUAUGCGGUUUGACCGAUAAAGAUCUUCAUAGAAUAUGUAGGAGCAUCCAGGUUCCGCUAUUGGUUCUGCGUGUAAUGCCUUUUGUACUAACCCCAUCGCUGAGACCAAUUUGCAAUAUUCGUAGCCAGACAAGAGAAAACGGCCCAAACUUUCAUACUGUAUACUCACUUAAUUUUUACAUUUAUAUAUACCUGCAGAGUCCAGAAAUGUAAGUUAUCAGUACCACUACCACUGCACUUGCAAAGCUGCCUGCCAUGGAGGGGUGGUUCAGCUUGUGUUUCAUUGCACUAGGCACGCCGAUUGCCCUUUGGCUUCUCAAGCUCGCCGGCGCCGGCGGCAAGAACAAACCACACAAGCACCAGCUGCCGCCAGGGCCAUGGACACUCCCGAUAAUCGGCAGCCUCCACCACGUGGUUAGCCUCGUCCCACACCGGCAAAUCACGCAGUUGUGUCGCCGAUAUGGGCCAAUGAUGCACCUGAAGCUAGGCGAGGUCGACGCCGUGGUGGUCUCCAGCGCCGAGGCGGUGGCGCAGGUGAUGAAGACCAACGAUCUCGCGUUCGCCACCAGGCCAGGCACGCCGAUGCAGGACAUCGCCGGCUGUGGCGGCAGGGGCAUCAUCUUCGCCCCCUACGGCGACCACUGGCGCCAGAUGCGCAAGGUCUGCAUUGUGGAGCUGCUCAGCUCCAUGCAGGUCAGGCGCAUGGAGAGCAUCCGGCCAGAGGAGGUUGGCAACCUCCUGGCCGACAUCGCCACUGCUGCGGCGGCCAGCGACAGCAUCAACAUCAGUGAGAAGAUGAUGGAGGUCAGCAACAACGUCAUGCCGCGGGCGGUGUUCGGCGGCAGGUUCACGCUGCAGGACGAGUACAUCCGCGAGUUAGACGUGGUGCUCACCCUGCUAGGCGGCUUCUGCCUCGUCGACCUCUUCCCGUUGUUGCGGUUGGCGCGGUGGCUCAGCUUCGGCGCACGGCGCAUGAAGAGGAGCUACAGCCACAUGCAAUGCAUCAUCGUCAACGUGAUCGAGGAGCGCAAGGCCGCGCGAGCUGCUGGUGAUGGCGCCUCAAGCACCCACGACGAGGACCUGCUGGACGUGCUGCUCAGGCUACAGAAGGAUGAUUCGUUGGCAUUCCCUCUAACCACAGAGAGCAUAUGCGCCAUCUUAUUUGUGAGUAUUUUUAACAAAAGAAACUUUUUUUUACUGCUAGCUGAUGCAAACAACGGCACAAAUUUUGCAUAUGACACGAGAUAGGAAAGAUUGAUUACUUUUGUUCCGACAAACUUAAAUCAUUAACCAUUUAUUUAACAUUAUCUAUGUCAUACAUUUCAAGAUUAUUUCUUUCUGCUCAGAAUUUCUGGUAAUCUACCAGUUACCGGAAAUUUUGAUGACCCCCCAGAAACUGUGGUAACAUUCAAUAAGAUUCAAAUGACCUCAUAAACAUGUGAAUGAUAGUGUGAAUGAAUUCAAGCCGGUCUUUUGCUUUCCAAUCACUAUUGCAAAGACACGUGUAGCAGAUCCAAAUACAAGAUAAUAUAAGGAAAAAAACAUACUUGACAAACCAAAGACCUAGACAUUGAUGUUAUCUCUCUCUCUCUCUCUCUCUCUCUCUCUCUCUCUCUGUCUCUCUCUCAAAUCAUACCGCGUGCUUGUUGUCUAGAAAAAGAGGAUCGAUCUUAAGUUCUCCACCAAUAAAUAUUUACCCUUAAAAAACAAUAAAUAUUUAAUGUUCUACAAUAAUAACACAACACUUGAUACAUAUAUAAAUGGAAGAAUUCUCAUAUUCCCUUUGAAUAGGUCAAUUUACAUACCGAAAUGCCGAACACGAAGGACCCCACAACGACCACGGUGGUGCUAGCGACAAGUAACCAAACUAAAAAUAGUGUAAAACCGAGACGGGAUUCCAGCAAUAAAAAUCAUUCUCAUGCAUUAUUACAAACCCCAUCCACAAUGUUUUGAAAAUGAAAAAUAAUGAAAUUAAAAGGAUAAUCCAACAGACGUAACUGACGAUGUACCUCAAUCCCCAUCCACACAAUAAAGGACACAUGCCACUCCGGAACUGCAACAUAACGGAAUUUCAUCAAUUCCAAAAGCUAGAAUUAUAAUGGCGAGUAGAAGCUCAACAAACAAAAGAAGUCAUGCCUCCUACUAGCCAUCCAACAAGCAUUCUUACUCUCCUAUGUGGACAUCAAAGGAAAAAAAUGUAAAACCCAAAGCACCAAUUGCUACCAGAAAGAUAGGGAUAUUAUUAAAGCCAAAUAGACUUCACGGCUACAAGCUAUUUAGAGAAAGUGUUAGAGCACUGACAUGAAAAGAAUAUGAGAUCAAUAUGACUAAUUAAAAAAUGGACAAGACAACUCUUGGCUUAAAAUACCAUUAAUCAAGCAAGCUUUACAACUACAGGCUAUUUAGAGCAAGUGUAGGAGCGCCGACGAGAACACAAUAUGAGUUCAACAAUACGAGUUCAAUAUGGCCAUUAUUUUUUAAUCACAAGAAAUGAGGUUCUAAUGGCUGAUAGAAGAUGAACAUACAAAAAGAAGGUCAUGCAAAAUUCUGAUUCUUUUUAAAAUAUUUGGUUAUCACCGUCUAGACGCAACACAGUUUUAAGUAAGUGGAAAGAAAUAAUCCACACUGGUUUCAUGUUGAAUAGCAUGUACAAGAAUCAAAUAGAAGUGCAUGCUAGCAACAAGGAUAGAGGGAUCGGAUCAACUAGAAAUAAAAAAAAGUCAACAAUGCCCUAGACAGUCGCAACCAACAAUGGAAGAAUUUUCCAUUUUAGGCUCAAGGUAUCGCAAACUUCAAUUCAAAAAGUCCCACAUCAAGAAAAUCGGCUUUUUACGCUAUCAUGCUAAAAAAAACAGUAUACUUAAAGCACCCAUAGGCGAUGCUGAGGGUUCUAUUCUAUAAAUCAUGUUCUCAAAUUUGGUGAUUAUGAGCACUAGGAUUUGAUUAACCGGUAUGUUUUCUAUCAUCUAACUAGUGCUUGUAGCAGAACUGUUAUCUACUUGAACCUUGUACAAAAAACUAGCGUGGUUGCAUCAUGAUAGUGUUGUCACCCUUAAGGGCGUGUGAAAAAACAAAUAAAAUUACAGGUGAAAAAUAACAUAUACAUCCACUUCUUGUUUUUCUCAUCAUUUGGCUUAUGUCAAUGAUACCAAAAGUGAAAAAAAAACUAGUGAGAAUCAAUAUUUAUGUUUUGCACAUAAAGAUGAACAAGGACACUCAACUGGAAAUAUGGUAAAAAAGAUGAGCAUAAACUAACCGCACUCUUAAAAUGAUUCAGAAAACAAGCACAAGAUGAAACCAAGAACUAUAUAUGUGAUGACAUCAUUUUUUUCUCCAACAAGCCUGCUUAUUCUCUUAUGUAAUCAUCAAAUGGACAAAAAAUAAUUCAAUCUCAAACCCAAAGCACCAACUGCCACCAAAAAGGUAGGGAUUUUAUCAAGGCCAAAUAUACUUCUGGCUACAAACUUUUUAGAGAAAGUGUUAGAGCGGUGACAUGAACGCGGUAUGAGAUCAACAUGACCAAUUAGUAGACGGACAACACAACUCUUGACUAAAAACACCAUUAAUCAACCAGGCUAAAAAUCGCUCAUUACAACUAAAUGGUCUAUAAAGAGUUAGGCUACUUCAACACAUUCAGACUAUUUUUGUUGUCUCGGUUUUACUAUUAAUUUUCAGUAAGAAAUAAGGUUAUAUACGCCCGCAAGGGCAAACCAUCCUUUACGCAUUUGUAUGUAUCGUAUUGUACAUACACAAACAUUUGUUCAUACUUCCAUACUGCAAUGUACUUACACUACUUUACUUUCUUUGGGGCAGAACUUAGGUCAGAGUAACUGUAAUUCGUUCCAAACACUGCUCGGCCGGUUUGCUAGCAGUGCGUGUGUGCAAAUUGUUUCCUGGCUGACCUCUUGAUUUUAUAUCCAUGAUGUACUGGUGGUUUGGGAGUUACUUCUUUUUCUUAUGAAAUUUAUCUCAUGAGUUUUCUGGUGUAGUCCGCAGCCAACUUGCACGUUUCAGAAUUUACUUACAUGAGUUUUUUGGUUGCAGUCUGCAUGCAACCUUUGGAUUUCAGAACUUACCUCUAGAGUUUUCUUGUUGUAGUCUACGUGAAACCUUCAGGUUUCAGAAUUUACCUCCGGAGUUUUCUCGGUGUAGUAUGCAUGUAACUUUCAGGUUUCAGAAUUUACCUCCGGAGUUUUCCGGCUGUAGUCUGCAUGCGACUUUCACGUUUGAGAAUGCGAUUAUGUCAACUUCAUCUAGGUCUGCACUACAAAGAGAACAACCUUUAGUAUGUAAGAUUUAUAAACUUGUUCAAGAAAAAAAAUCAAUUUUUUGUCCCAAAAGCAACCCAGCCAGAAAGCUGGAGUUGCUCUACGCAGUAGAAAACGCCCACUGUUUAGUUUUCAUAAUAAUAAAAAGGGCACUAUAUGUAUACAUUAGUUUGCAAGGUCAGCUGCAAACAGCAACAAAAAAUAAUAAUAUGAGGAUCAACAGACACAUGAUUGAUUAAACAUUUAAGGAGUUCAGACAAAGAUGUGUAGCGUGAUCCUGUUCGGUAGGUAGGAAAUCUUCAAGAAACAAGGCCUAGCUGGGUCAGUUCAUAAAGUUGUUAAAAUUGUAAUAUAGCCUUCCAUCUUGUAGGACCAAGCCUCCUUAUCAAAUUUGUAAUGCACAAGAGAAGACCAUGGUUGGGAUCAAAAUAUUACACUUACUAAUAAUCGUUUUAUUUAUGCAACCAGAGCCUGCUUAUCCUUUGGAAAAAAAAUACUAGUACUUACUAAUAAUCUUUUUAUUUAUGCAACCGGAUCCUUUGUUGGACCCUGACAAAAUCCCUUCCAUGAGCAUAUAUGUCGCGCGGUUAUUAAAAAAAGAGAAAAGAGAUACGCGAUGCCUCCCACUCAGACCCAACAACACCCCUGCCUCCCACCCCUCUUGGCCCCCAACAUCAUCCAUGAAAGCAAACUAAAAAAUGAGUACGAUACAGAUUGAGAAAUGCCUGAUGCUAUUGAGCAUAGGAACAAGACAGAAUGAGAAUACAAACAUGAAAUGCAGAUUGGAGAAAAAAAUAUUGAAUGAUGAAAAUGUCAAACAUAGUUACAGACAUAAUACUAAAAACUGAUUACUAAUAAUGAUUAUGUACAAUUAUGUUACUCAUUAGAGGACAGAAAAUAAACAUCCUAACUUACCUAAUGUCCACCAGCAACAUCAAGAUGCGCAAUUACACAAAAAUUAACUAAAGUGAGGGCACCUUGUUCUUUUCCCUAAAGAAUUGAUACUUCUUAUUCUUUCGUGAAGACGUGUUAGUAACUUGUUCUUUUCUGAAAAAGGUAAAAAACAAAUCAAUACUGAGCAGAUAUUUUACAAAGUGAUAUCAUGUAAAAAAACUUUUGUAUUUACAAAAACACAGAGCAAAUCUUGGCUGAAAAAUGUCUAAUAAUCAUCGUGGGGAGAAAGAGGAACAGAGAGGGUAGCUCCACAAAUUGUAGUGACAAGAAAAAUAAAAACACAAAAACUAACAGCUCACAGUUAAUAAGAUGAUAAAGAGCCGAAAAUAAGCUUCAAAUGGUUUACCUUUUGUUGCUAGUCUCCUCCGUCCGUCCCACUUGUCGGAGGAAUGGAUGUAUGUUAUAGAUACAUUCAUUUUUAUGCAUUUCUCUGGCAAGUAUUUCCGGAUGGAGGGAGUAUUAAAUAAGAUUGAGAAAACUAAAGAGAGACUAGCUAAGAAGAAAUGAAGAAGAUUGAAAGUAGGAACCUAAGAGACCGAGAAAGAGAGACUGAACAAAAGAAUGAGAAAAUAAAGAGUGAACAGAUGUAACUGUGAACCAGAGAAAACAGAAAAAAGAAUGAGAUACUCAUGGAAUUGCAAAAACUAAAAAAAAUGGAAGAAUGAGGAUAAAAACAUAAAAACACUAACCAAAUACUAAAUGACAAAGACCUAUGAGGAACAUGACUGAAGAAGUAUGUAAAUCAUGUCACUCCCUCCCUAUUUAAAGAAACAUGACUGAUAACUGAUACAAAACAGAAAAGAUGAACUUAUAAUAAGAACUAAACCCACAUGCUCAUACAGAAUGACUGAAAAUUGAAUGAAAUAAAUUAAAGAUAAAAUGAACUAUAAUAAGAACAUGAAAAUGAGUGUGAUAAACAAACUAAAGAUACUCAAUCUGAACAAUGAUAAUACACUGCCAUUAAUAUAUGACGAUAAAUGACGAAUUAUGGUAUUAAUGACUAAAUGAAGAUAUCUAAAGGGAAAAUGAAGACUAAAGAUGAAAAUAAGACUGAUACAUAGGCUAAGAAAUACUAAAACAGAGAAAAAUGAAAAUUAAAUAGAAUGAAAGUACAACACACUCAAUAUGACUGAAAGAGGAAUAAUGUAGAAAUAUGAAUGAGAAAAUUAAUGAGUAGUGAAGAAAGAACACUGAAUAGUGACUGAAGCAAUACAUCUGAGAGAUAAAACAAAAAGGAGACACCGCGAGGGAACAAAAAAAUUGUUCAUCAGUGGAUGUAGUGCUUUCCAUACAACUCUCGCUGUUUGACGAACCAUCAUCAUGAUCAUAUGCGUACGUAGCAUCCACAUGACGACAUCUGCCCCAUAGAAUCCACAACCCUGCUGCUGCCAAAAAAGAUGAAAAAGAAACAAUAAACUCAUAUGCUGGGGUGCGAGUGAGAUUUCAAAUAACACUGACCGAAACCAAAAAAAAUGCACACAUGGAAACAAAAGAAUGUCGAGUUUCUGAAUCCUGGACUGCAAGUGUCAAAUAAUUCAGUAAGAAAAAUAGAUAGUGGCUGUUCCGGGUUUACGAAAAAAAUAAGAAGUGCGAAAAACUAUAAAAAGUACUCUUGAAAAAUCUUUCCACUACUCGUCGCACUGCCGCGAAAACACAAACCCCACCAUUGCUGAGAAUAAAAAAAGUAAUGGGCUGCUACACACAUCUGUACUGACCGCAGAAAUCCUACACAUAUAUGACGGACAGUGAAGUAAACUUUCAUCCAUCAGGUCUUGAUGGAAUGACCUGACUGCCCCAUCAUAACAAAUGGAAUUAAAACAUGCAUGAUAAUUGGGAUUUAGCAGUUCCAGCAUAAGCACGCUUGCCUAAGCUGGGACAAAGACCAUAAGCACACAUGACACAUUCAGAAGUACAAGGAUCACAAUCCUAAAAUCCCUUUUUUGGGUUUCAUAUUGGGAUCUUGCAACUACCCAAAAAUGGGGGUAGCAGGCAGGACGUGGAAUUACCGCAGCGAUGGUACAUACAUACAUAAAACAAAGCACACACUCUGUAACUCUGUCCUUAUUGCUAAUCUUCUUCUUACCCAAUGGAGCUUCAGAUCCCCAUAACUAAGCUCGAUUUCACACCAUAAUCUGAAAAACAAAACAAAUCUAAUAUAUAUGCAAAAUUUUGCCAUAACACAGUACCUCAGAAGACCGAAAGUCCCUUGCGAAUAUAAAUGUGCCGACCUCCAUGGCAGGAACAAAAUCAACACAGAUGGCCUGAAUGAACUGACGCUGAGCAAGCCAACUCGGGGGAGGCAAUGAAAAGCCGGGGAGGAGGAUGUUGGAAACGCUGGCCGUAACUUACGCCAGCCCAUAUGGGCGACGGCUGGUUCCGGCCUCCCCGCCUGCUGCUGACAAACCCCAACGGGAGAGCUCCGCCAACCCGCUCUCCGUACCACCCUUUCUCCUUCCUCCCUCUGAUCCCCGGUAGCUGGUCACGCUUCAUGGCUGGGACGUGGGUCCACUGCUCGUCAACAUGGGAUCCGUGCCCUAGCACCCCCCCCCCCCCUAGGUGAGAGGGAGUAAGGGCAACAUUUCUAUGGCUUCUGCUUGAAAUGUUGACCUCACUGUUACAGCUUUAAAACCAAAACAUGAAGCCAUAGAAAGACAUGAGUAACAUCGAAACGAUGAAUCGAUCAAAUGUUGAUGUGCUACCUUUUCUCAAUCAAACACGUGCCUCGUAGGACAAGGACAUACCUGUGUAUCGAUCUUGCCAGGCUUACGGUUUUUAGCGUUGCUGCUUGUCCGACGACUUGCUGUUCAUAUCUUGUGUUGGAUGCCUAGUAGAGACAUCAACAUCAUCACUACAACAUGUUCGGACACAAAAGAGAAGCCAUCAGUUGGCGUGGCAAGAUUUCUAUGAAGAAGAAGAAAACAAGAUUAGAUCAAGAAACAACUAUCAGUUGGCGUGGCAAGAUUUCUAUCAAAAAGAAGAAGAAAUAUUAGAUCAAGAAACAGCAUGCAUGCUCUUACAUAUAAGGCGGAUCAACGAGUGCUAGGCGGCAGGCACAUGCAUGGCCGGCAAACCAUGAUCGGUCUAAGGGCCACCACGCACAGCUGCGCCGGGCAUGUCGACUGGUCUUAACUCGCUCCGCAUCUCUUGCACGGCAGCGUGGUGCUAGCCGGACAACACAUCGGCGUGGGCAUGGCACAACCCUGAGCUGCCGGUGGAUGUACAUGACGCUGCUUAGAUCGACCGUCGCCAUCUACAACGUGGAGAUUGAGGAGAGGGAAGGAGGAGGAAGGUGUGGGGCGGGGCGGGGCCGGGCUGGUCGAGAUCAAGGGGGCGUCCAUUUAUAGAGGAGAGGAGAGGAGAGGGGGGUCGUGGGCAGCGAUGAGAUGACUGAGCCGGGGACGCGGGGAGGCAUCGGAUGGGAGUGUGAUCCGCGUGAGGCGUGUGGAUUGGAUCGCAUGCGGAGCGGGGGAGGAAGGGAGGGAGGCGGCGCGUGGAUGCAUGGGGUAGUUAAAUGCGGUGUCGAUUGAAGGUUUCCAGGAGGAGGAAGCAUGCGUCGGUUUGGGAAGAGGAUAGAAUUAAUGGGUGCCUAGUUUCAAGGAGGAAGACGAGGGAAUCAAGGGAGGGUCUCUUGAAGGAAGGAAGGAAAGAGGUGUAUUCAUCCAGCCGUGGAAAACGCUAGCUGCAUGCAGUAAUUAUUCCUUUAAUUUCCUUCCUUGUCGCCAGAUUGACGCAUACGCGCGACGGAUUCCCUCUCUGACUCUCUCUAUGGUAUGGUAUGAUAUGUACAGCACAAACGAUUUAGUCCCAGCGCUCUCAGAAAUUACGCCAGCCACGUAAAGGUAGCCAGGCACUUUCCAUGCGUUCAAAUGAUUUAGUAUCAAGUUUCCUAGUGUCCCUCAAUUUGUAAGAUUUUAUUAUGUAUGCAGUAACUUCUUCCCAUUUGCUCGUGUCAGUUUUUAUUUUUUUAGGGAAUUUGCUCGUGUCUAUAUCUUUAUUUUUAUCUGUUUGAAGGAAUUUGCUCAUCUAAGACAAGACUCGUUCUCUAUAUAGCCAGGUGGGUUUUUUCUGUUCACAAUUUGAUUUUCUCAUGUAAGAUAAGACACCAGGUUUGCAAGUGCAUUCCUAGCAUAAAAGGUUUUUCUGUUCACAAUUUGAUUUUCUCACAUAAGAUAAGACACCAGGUUUGCAAGUGCAUUCCUAGCAUAAAAACACCGGCUCCAAUCCAAUUACCAGGUUGGCAAGUUUCAAAGUCCCUGCAUUGAACAUUUUUUCAUAACUUGUUAGAUUAUAAUUGAAAAAACCCAGAGAACACUCAGUCAUUCUUGACACCGACAAACUCGGUACUCUCCUCUCCUAGGACAAUGAAAAUUUUCUUGUUGUACCAUACAAAACACCGACAAAUAGCUCAGGAAUUCCUUGAUGCAAUUAAUAAUAUGAUCAACUUAACUCUUGAUGCAGUUAACCCAGAAAGAAAAUUCCCAUAACGAUGCACAUCAUUUCACAUCCCAACCUUCACAAUGAAGAUGUUACUUCCACCAGAUAUGAUCAAAUAGGAACACGCAUGCAUGUGCGCGCGCACACACAGCGCAGUGCAAUACAUCUUCACCAAAACAAAGUUAAAUAUCUAUGUCAUCAACUACUUCUCAGAUGAGGUGAUAAAAAACAUCUCGAGUCCACUACACAUCCCAGGAAGCACAGGUACUUCGCGUCCUUCCAUCACAAACAUUACAACAUGAUAGAGCCAAACUACUACAUACAUGGCUUAAUUCUGAAACCUAACCCAUCAAUGGAGAAAGCUCAAGGACGACGCCGCCAUCCAGUGCAUCUUUAUCAGCGGAGAAAGCCCGAGGACGACUGCACCAUCCAGUGCAUCUUCAUCAGCGGAGAGAGCCCGAGGACAACGACGCCAUCCAGUGCAUCUUCAUCAGCGAAGAAAGCACGAGGACGACGGCGCCAUCGUGUGCAUCUUCAAGCCCAAACCGCGUCAACUUCUGCAGCACCGCUUGGCAAGAGAAAAUGACCGGUGUCGUGCGCGAUGGAGAUUUUCCAUCAUGUCCGAUAGGUUUGAUGGACGAAAGGAGUAUCUUCCCGAGGAAUGCAAUCUGGGUGGACAUAAAAAGACCAGUCUAGUGCAGAGGCAAUGUAAUGCAUCAGAGGAAUGUUAGAUUUCUCAGCAGUAAGCCACACAACAAUUCUCUUGUGUCAAAGGGAAUUUACAGGAAUUAACAAGACAACAUCUUCCCCUAAAAACAAUGCAUACUUAUUCACCAGCCUAGGAAUGCAAAAUGCUCGUUCCAGUUCCACACAAUGAAAGUUAAGUGUUGGACCUUAUCAAGACAAGACAAAAUUGCCAUAGAUAGGCUCACUUGUGUGACCAGCAGAAGAAUUUUCGCUACAAGAUCUCAUCUUGGCUUGUCAAAUCUCAUACUAGACAAAUUGUUGGACACUAGUGAAAACAAGCAACAUCUCCGGGUAAUUGACGACCGGGACACGCAGGACAUGAGAGAGAGAGAGAGAGCAAAGAGAGAUACCUUGACGAUCUCCAUGGCGUCGGCAGCGGGGUCGGAGCAGCUGCUGCGUCCAUGGAAGAGGCGGCACACAGUGGUCUACGCCUGAGGACACCAACAUUAUCAAGUUAGUAUGUGUCGUUAGUAUCAACCUGAAGAUAAAUCUGUUGCAGAGUUUUCAGUUUUCUGAAGAAAGAAGGAACUAAAAGUUUCAGGUUUCUGCAGUUUAGUCGUCUCUGAACAUAAAUUGCAGCAAGCAAGCAAGCAAAUAUGGAUGGGCAUGAGAGGGAGUAAGGGCCACUGAUGGUGAAUGCUGAACUAGGAUGAGCAGAGCCUGCACUCACCACCCACAUAGAAGGCAAUGACAGAAUCCCUUCCCCUGGCACGAGCUUCGGAUCAGCAGUGGCAUAUGUUCUUGCCUAUUGAGGAUCCUCCAUGGACAAGGGAAGGUGUCACCAGACCACCGCAGUCCAAUUAGUGCUAUACGGCCUGCACAAGGAUCACACGAGACAUGCAUGGUGAAUGCUACAGAAAAACAAGACAAGCGUUUGCUCAAUACAGAAAAACAAGACAAGCGUUUCCUCCAUCGUGGGACCAGCGGCGACCCGGGAAUAAGCAGACCCGGAGGAGCGAAGCGGCGGUCUUCUAGGUCAAAUCGAAACCACCACACAAGCACUUGACAAAGCAGCAUCACAAGCUGCCAGAAUGCAACAUCACAAGCACUUGAGUUACAGUCAAGACCGUCGACAAAAGGGAACGUCAGGCCAUAGUAAGGUUGCUGCGAUGGUGAUUCGAUAAAACAUCACAUACUUUUCUGUACACAGGGCUCCUCUUUUCGUCCUUGAGGGAGUUCCUCUCCUCCACCAAAUCCGUCAUCUCCUCUUUCAAAACAUUGUUAUCAGCGGGAUGGAGUGCUCCUUCCCUGAAGCGGGCGUCUGGAACGGCGGUUCAUAUCAUGUCCUCAAUGUCCUGCACUCCACCUUGGUCAACAUUGAGGGUCUCUGUUGGGCAAACAUCAACGUCAAAGCAGAGAAAUGGAGUCACACCAAUGGACAUGGCAGCAUUUAAGAAAUGGAAAUACAUAACUAGUACUCCCUCUGUAAAGAAAUAUAAGAGCGUUUACAUCACCGCUUUAGUGAUCUAGACGCACUUAUAUUUGUUUACAGAGGGAGUAUAUGUGAUAGUGUUACCAGUGCAAGAGAGAGAAAUUGCAAUCUUACGCAGUUUGAAUAUCAUUGCAAAAGGAUCAAGCCAAAGGGAUAAACUGCAAUUAAGCCAAAGGGAUCAAGCAAAUACUUGUAUCACACAGGGAAGGUGGUUGAGUAGUGCUGUACUGGACCUCAUCCCUUCCCCUCCUCCUCCUCCUCCUCCCUCUCCCAGUCGUACCUCUUCUUUACUUCCUCUACCUGUCACAGUUGCAAGUAAAUUGGAAGGCUCUGUUUUCAUUGCAAAUCACAGUUGCUCUCUACUCCAGUUUCUAGCACUCUUCUUGUAUCGUACUACUUGUCAUAAUGUACUAUAUCAAUAAGAUGCUUCAUUUACAAUGUAUUGUACUGGAGGCUACUCCAUUUAUAAUUUACUAUGCUUCUAAUAAUGUAUAUCAUUACUAGCGUCGAGUAUUGUAUUUACACCAAUGGAAAUAAGAUUACUGCAUUGAUACUUACUGCUUCUUUUUCGCUUAUCUACUGGUUUUUGCUAUGAUGGUAAUUUUAUUUCCAUAGUUACUAAUAAUAAAUAUUUUUUUUUCAUUUCUUAAUAAAUCUAACCAACUCUCAGGUAUAUACGCAUGUCUCAACUACUCCCUCCGUUUCUAAAUAUAAGAUUUUUUAGAGAUUACAAUAAAGAAUACAUAUGGAGCAAAAUGUGUGAAUCUACGCUAUGAAAUACGUCUAUAUACACCCGUACGUAGUCCUUAUUGAAAUCUCUAAAAUGUCUUAUAUUUAGAGACGGAGGGCGUAACAAGACUAUCCUAUGACCGAGUUGACCCCUAGAAACCGGAUUCCCAUUUCAAAAGCCUCCCGUGCAUGAAAAUUUUACCCACAAACAUUGAGUCCUAAACUUCUUUUUUGGGUAUAUAUUGUAGAAAGAAUAGAGAGGAAGGUUGACAAAAUGAGGUGGGUUCUAUUGUUGUAUCGCUUGAGCCCCGUGGACGUAUUUAUAGGAGUACAUGAUCAACUUGGAGUAUAAGACAAGUUAGAACAAAUCCUAAUAUAUCCUAUAUUUUCUAAUAAUCACAAUACUCAACAUCCCUCCACAGUCACAAAGGUAGCGACGCAGACGGUGAGACAGGAGAAGAAUCCUAAGGUAAGCCGAUGGACACCAUCCCCCCUCCCUAGUCGUAACGAUCGAUGCAUAGCAGAAGAUGUGGCUGGAGUGAAACCGAUGAGAUUGCUCCAUCAAGUCGUCCCUUUGUGCCGAUGUCAAUCUAACCGAGAGCGUAGGAUGGUGUAUCCAUGUUUAAGGUAGCCAUGCCAGGGAUGACAUGGUCGAUGUCAACUCGGGGUGGUCGAUGUUGAGUUAGUCGCCAUGGCGCCGCAGGCGCAAGGAAGCGCCGUGGUAGUCUUCGGAGCAGUGUUGUCGAGGUAGUGGUGCACCGGGAAGAAGACGGUGUUGAUGAGUUGUCACGCUAGGUUUGUCAAGGCCAGGCACACGUCAUGGACGAAGGCACGCGUCGGUGUUGCCAGCCUCGGGCAUGCUAGACGGACGAACUCGAUGUUGACGAGGCGCCACACCAAGCUUACCAGGCCCGAGGACACAUCAUGGACGAAGGCACACGUCGGUGUUGCCAGCACUUGGCAUGCCUAGAUGAGGAUCCGCACGAGUUAUAUGCCAUUGUAACACCCCUAUGUAAGGAGCUAAAGUGAUCAUCAUAAGCUACUUUGAUUAACUAGUCUUGAUCAACGUUGAUUCAUAUCUUAUUUAAAUUCCACUUCAAAUCAAAUUCAAAUUGUAAGAGGAAUUAAGAAUUUCAGAAAUAAGAAAACUAAAAAGUUCAGGCAAUGGCAAAUAAUCAUUGAAUAAUUGUCAUGGUGAAACCAAUAUUUUAUAUAAAGUAAUUAAAUACCCUAAAACAAUUAAAACACGGUGCAAAACAAUAUUUUAAUUGCUUUUAAAGUUAUAAGAAUUCUAAAGUAAUUUAAAAGCCUCCCAAACUUUUCCUGGCAUUGUCCAAAAUUGCACUUUAAAUAAUGGGCGAAGUUCCUACUUUUACUAAACCUAUUUGCUAUUUAAAAUAAUUAAAAAACAGAAUUAAAUAAAUGAAAACAGAAAAAUAAAAAUAAAAAGAAAUAGUUUAAGAAAAAGAAAAGUGGCACUGUGUCGGCCCAGCCCACCGAUCGUGUUGGCUUCAACAUAGCUACAGUGGCCGACCGAGGGCACGAGCGCCGCUCGUCCCCGUCGGACCACCUCAUCAGCUUCGCCGUGGGAGGAUAAGUCCGCCACCCACACAGCCCCUCGGACUCCUCCCCUCUCACUCACUUACCCCCUACUAGAUCCCCCCUCUUCCUUUAGCUCCCUGCGUCGAACUGGAGAAGCGCCCGAUGCGACCGUCGCCGACGCCCCGUCGAUCCCGCGGCCAUCUUCACCCCUGCGCCUCCCCGUCAUGUCAUAGAGUGCCGCUGCACGCUACGCCGCAUGCUACCUCGAGCUGGAACUGGGGACCCCUGCAAUGCCGCCCCGACCUCUUCUUCCUCCUUGGGCACCACCGCAGUCCCCAUCGAUUCGGCGCCAUGAGCCUCCCCCGAGCCCACGUUUGCACCUCUACAGGCUCCCCGUGAGCUUCCGCUCGGAUCCCCUUCGUCUCCCCCAUCCUUCCGCGCCAUAGCUCGCCUCGCCGCCAUGGCCGCACCCAAUGCCGCGGUAGAGCUCGCUGCCGUGGCCACUGCUCGCGUCCGAGCACAGCAUCGUGCUCAGCUUCUCCCUAGCAACCCAACGCCACCAUCCACUGCCUUUGUCGUGCCCCGUAGCGACGAACCCGAGAUCACCCGAACGCCACCACCACCACCGAUGAUGUUCCGCUGAACUCCCACCAUCUCAGCCACUCCCACCGACACCAAACAAUGCGACAUCGCUUGCUCUUUUGAACGAGCCAACCCACGGGGCCGGAGACUCCCUGUGCGCAUAUUCCGGCCAACUACGGCACGUCACCACCUUGAAAUCGAGUCGCUGGAACCCCUCUAGCACCGCCACAGAUAUGGCUGGCUUGGGGCCCACCCAUGUGUCACUGCCAGUGGGCCCCAGGGGCCUAGCUGACCCGUUGACCCCGGUCAACUGUGCUAACUGGGCAGCACAGUCACUGACUGGUGGGCCACCCACCUAAUUAACUAAAAUGUUAAUUAAUUUAAUUGGUUAAAUUUAAUUAGACACUGACAAAUGGGCCCUAAUAACUAAUUAGCUUAAUUAGUUAAAUUGAAACCUAUUAAUUUUUAUUGAGUCACUAACAAUGGGGUUCCACUUGUCAGUUUGACUAGUCAACUGCCAAUGUUGACUACUCACUGGGCUUUGACUUGCCCCACAUGUCAGCCUAUGAAGCACAUCAUAACAUUUAGUAUUUAAUGUAUUUUCGAAUUAACUUAAUUACAAUUUUUUUGGAAAAUCAUUUAAACUCCAAAAAAUCAUAUAAAGUAAUAUAUAACUGAAAUGAAAAUAAGUUAUAUAUGAAAAUUUCUAAGAAAAAUAUAAAAAAUCCAAAAAUGAUAUCCACUCAUCUGUCCCAUAACUGCCAAACGCUGGGAAAACAUUUCUAGAUGUUUUCCCGCUUCGUCUGUAACGUGUAGCACUAUGUUAGAUCACCGCUAGGUCAGCAUAUUUCCAUGUCAUGCAUCAUGAUGCAUUUAUUUGCUUUAUAUUUGUUGUUUCUCCCCCUCUCCUCUCCGGUAGACCCCGAGACUGACGAUGGUCCUAGGUAUGACUACACACCUGACGAUCAGCCCUUUUUCACAGAGCUUCCAGGCAAGAAAAAGCCCCUUGAUCAUUCCUAUAUCGCCCAUACUUUCUCUCUCAUGCUUGCAUUCGAUUUUGCUAAUGUUGUUGAUAACUCCUAUUCUGAUGCAUAGCCUGCUUUUGUAACCUGCGGUUGUUACUUUACCUGAUAUCCUAUAUGCUUAGUAUAGGUUGGUUAGUGAUCCAUCAGUGACCCUUCGCCUUGUCCCUGUUGCCCCCACUUUAUUACCGAAUGAAUCGAUCAAUGUGAUCGACGUACUGAGACCAACACAUCACUGCACCCCCCCCCUUAGUUGUACAACUCUGUAGAGAUACUAUCGAGUGCCGAGGGUGAUACCUCGAAAUGCACUCCUGAUAAUAUCUCUGUAGUGUAGCUAAUCGGUUGUGGAUUAUGGAGGGUGAUUCCUCCUUCACCACUCCCAAUAUUGACUCUGUCGUGCAGUUCUUCAAGUGUGAACCUACCGAGGGUGAUUCCUCCAAGUUCACCUUGAUGGUUACAUCGAGUGGGAAUCGAUCGAGGGUGAUUCCUACAAUUCCUCCUUGGUGUUAUCGACACACACUUACCUUUACCUGUUCCCGUCAACUGUUUCUGUGGGACUGAAGGGACAGGUGGUACCACCCCAGUAGAGGUGGACCUGAGUUCCUGAUAGUCUCUUGUGACUGAGGAUGACCUGGAGGGUACCUGUGAGAUAAUUACGAGGCACGGCCGGGCAUUCUUGGCCCUUGCCGUAAGUUCGAGAGACAGAGCAAUAGGACCACGGAUCAUGGAUCAUUGAUCCUCUCCGCGCUCUCCCAAGACACUAAUUGAUUUGGAUAUGUGCACUGUUCUAUAAUUCAUCCGAUUAAUCAGUAAAUUGGCUAGUUAAUCGCUACUCAUCAGGUGGCCGAAUCGAAUAAGACCUAUUCAUCAUGUUAACUUGCCAGUCCGAUUAAAUGGUCUAUUAGACCAGUUAAAUGGUCUGUUAGACCGAUUAGUCGGUUGUUAGGCCGAUUAAUCGAUGUCGGCCCGCUAACUCAUGGGCAUACAAAGCCCAAUUAUUUGGCCCGUAACCCUUCUCAGCCCAUACAAAGCCCGAUUAUUUUAUUAAUGUCAAUUGUGCUAAUAAUAUGCAAAGCCCCAAGCUUGGGGAUGCUAAUUUUUAUACGUCCACUACCUUUUGCAAUUAUCAUGAUUCGGGUGAUUAUUCUUAUGAUAUUGAAAGUUUAUUUAAGCCUCAUGAUGAAUAUCGUUGUGAUAAUAUUGAAAAUGGGUUUGGAAGAUUGUCAGCUCUAGGUAAUAAUGAUCCCACUAAUUUGUAGAAUGAUCCCAAGCUUGGAGACGCGACAAUAGUAGUGUGUCGUGAUGCAGAAGGAAACUACCUCAGCAGCUCUUCCCUGGCGUAACCAAUGUAGCAUUUUAGGAUUAUUUGUUUUCAUAAGAGCAAGUACAAUAGCAGGCUUAUAGCCUGCUUACAUGGCAAUUUUGUCGACAUGGAGGAGAGAGACAUGAAAAAGUAAGCGGAGUGGGCUCCCAUGCAAGAGCCUAACUAUAUGCGUGCUUCAAGGCAGAUGCAAUAAAUACGAAGAAAGAGAUAGAGAGAAGAUGAGGAAAAAUAGUAAUCUUAUAGCCAACCUUAUAGCUAACCUUAUUGUAUGAGUGACUAUAUGAAUUGGCUAUAAAUGAUAUGACAACAUCUUAUAGCUAGCAAUUUGUUGUAUUAUUAAUCAUGCUCUAAUGUUCCUAAUGCAUCAAUACGAAGAGAGUACUAGUAAAGCAGUGACAAGUAAUGUGGAUAGAAGAGAGUAACGCAAUUUCAAAAAUAUGACAACAACCUCAUUAAUGAUAGCAUGUGGCUAUCUAGCCAGGGCCGAGUAAUAAAUGAGGUCCAUCAGAGAGUUCGCUGGCACGUUACGAGUUCAGAUUUAUUUGUUGAGCACCUUGCGAACGAUCAAUCACCAUACUCCCUUUAAAUUGUCAGUUUACAUAUCAAUUUUCAUGCAUUUUCACCACCAAAGGGAUUUUAGACACGUUUGGUUUAAUGCCCAAUUAAUUAGGGCGUGACAACCGCAAUCAAUCACACAAAUUUCUCUCCAUGCAGGUGUGUAUGCGAGGUAGAAUAAAUGCAUGCAUGUGUGUACGUGUUAAUUUCCCCAAUUGUUAGGCGCCGUGGUAUAACCAUAGAUGAUAUUUUUCAGUUUAAUCGCUAAUCACUUUGGUUUCAGAGAUUGUUGAAGCGCGUCGGACUGUGACAAGAGAGUAUUUCACGCCUGUCCAUGCACAGGAUUUUUUAUACUAUCUAUGUCUUGGUUACAGGUCACCGUAUUUUGGGUCAUUUCUUAAUCAUGAUUUGAACUAAUAAAAUCUAAGCUAUACAUUAAAAAAUAAUAUCAUUGGAAACUACAUUCAAAUAUGAAUCCAACAAUAUUAUUUGAUUUGUUGUGACAUGCAUUGACAAUUUGCUAGUCAAAUAUGUGAUUAAAUUUUGACUUAAAAUAUGGGAGGGACUAAUAAACCCUACUCCAAAGUCGAAAGUAUUUUUUUGCACCUACUCAAAAGUUAGCGAUACUUAUUUUCACAACCGUCUAUAGGUGAGCAAUAAAGGUGCAAUAAAGACCGUCCCAUCCCCUGUAUCAGCCAAACAUUGAAUUAUAUUAUAAUGGCAUCUAUGCAGCUCAACUACCGCGUGCCAAGCCCAUGCGUGAGUAAAUACGGCAGGCGCAGCUCAAUCCAUCAAGCCAUGGCAGACUUGCUCCUCCUAACCCUGCUUCCCUUGGCUCUCCUCUUCCUCCUCCUCCACCAUGCAUCGCCAAUCAAAGCCCUUCUCACGAGGGCCAAGUCGGUUCUGGCACCGGAGCUCUCCACGGUGUGGAAGCCACAGCCAGCUAGCAUCUUCGUCACGGACCCCGAGACGGCGCACAGCCUUCUCGUGCGCGGCAGCGCCGGUGGCUCCUUCUCCAACCGCCCACCGUCCAUUUCUCCCAGCGCCAUCCUCUCGCGCCGUCAAUACCAGAACAUCACCUCCGCUCCCUACGGUGAGCACUGGCGCGCCAUUCGUCACAACCUCACAUCGGAGGUCCUCCACCCAACGCAGCUCCACCGGCACGCGUCAGCGCGCCGCCGUGCACUACAUGGACUCGUCGUGGACCUCGCCGAGCAGAGGAAAAACGGCGUGGUUCACGCGGCGGAGAGCAUCCGCUACGCUAUGUUUGGCCUGGUGGCCAACAUGUGUUUCGGCGACGACAUCGACAAUAACCGCGUCCGUGCCAUGGCCGACGCUCAGAGUGACCUCGUCAAGUCCCUAUCUACGGCGCGCGUGUUCGCGCACGCGAAGCUCCCCGCACUGACCAGGCUCAUUUAUCGUAAUCGGUGGAGGAAGCUAGCCGCCCUGCGACAGCAGCAGGAGCAGACGUACCUACCACUCAUCGACUCCCGUCGCGGCCGGCACCGGCGACCCAGCGAGACGCCGGUGUAUGUGGACACGCUCAUCGAUCUCAAGGUGCCGGACGACCACAGUCAGGACCCAAGGCGGCAUCGAAGAAGGCUGUCCGAUGGUGAACUCGUCGGCAUGUGCUCCGAGUUCCUUGGUGCUGGAACUGAAACGACAGCAUCAGCGCUGCAGUGGAUCAUGGCCAACUUGGUGAAGCGUCCUGACAUACAGGAGGCCGUCCGGAAGGAGAUCAAUGCCGUCGUGGGUGCGGACGCCGAGGAAGUCAGCGAGGUUGUUCUUGGGAAGCUGGAGUACCUGCACGCUGUGAUCAUGGAGGCACUCCGGCUGCAUCCGCCGACGUCUUUUGCAUUCAGGCAGGUGAUGGAAGAGGAUCAUGUGGUUCACAAUGGCCGGCGUAUUCCAGUGGGCACAAAAGUGUACUUCCCACUGGCUGCUAUAGCACGAGACAGGACAGCGUGGGAUAACCCUGACGAGUUCAAGCCACAACGGUUCCUGUCCUGCAAGGAUGCAUCCCAAGGAACCGACGGCACGAUCAAAAUGAUGCCUUUCGGCGGUGGUCGGAGGAUGUGCCCUGGUAGGGGUGUCGCAAUGCUGCACUUAAGCUACUUCACCGCCAACCUUGUGAGGGAGUUCCGGUGGAGGGAGGGAGAAGGUGAGCUUGCUGUCGAUCUCCAGCCGCAUGUUGAGUUCUUCACUGUCAUGAAGCGGCCAUUGCGUGCUCACCUAGAGCUUGAAAGGACAGAGAUCAAAACUAGUUAAUUAGCUGGGCUGAUCAAGGUUUCUUGGUUGUACUAUGUUUGCUAAAUGCUAAUAACGAACCAUAUGAAUGUUUUUUGAGCGCCAGUCGAUUCCUCCCCCGUACGCACGCUAAGUGUCGAGCGAAGACGAAGCGUGGCCUGCGAGGACUUGCCAUGAAUGAAUCGGAGCAGGCAACAAAGCCGCUACGUCGUAGGCGGAGGUGAGAUAGAGGCUUUACUAGUUUGGGUGAUGGGCGGUUCCCGGCAUAAAGAACAAAUGGAAUACAUGAUUAUGUUAUCGGUUAAUGCCGUAAUAGUUGUGGUUAAGUCAGCAAUUCCUCAACCCAUGCACUUGAGCAGGCUAGGUAUUUCUUUUAUGAACAUUAUUAUGAAGAUCAUUAAUAUUGUUAACCAUUAAAAACACUUUGUCAAUAGGGAAAAAUAAUAUAUGCAUGAUGAAUGUUAUGCAUAUUUAUAAUUCCGUUUAACAUUUGUAAAUCCACCAAUUAAAUCAUGCUCCUACCUUUAAAAAUAAUCCAGGACCUAUAAUGUACAUGUUAUUUACAUAAAUAGUAAGAUAUUUUAAAUUAAUCAAUCUGGAUACAAAAGCAUAUAUUAAUGUUUGUAGCUUAGCUACCCCAUAGUGUGCGAUGCUCCCUAUUUAUAUCCAUGCAAAACCUUAUGCAGUAGGAUACAUGAUCUGUGGCAGAUGAAACUAGCUCCAAUACACUUGUUCAAGUUUUGUUGUGUACAACACCCAUGGCAGAUGAAACUUGUCAAUCUCUACUUGUCGAGUUGACAGUCAUGUCAAUGCGAAAGAAGGCAUAGCUGUCAGCUUGUCACCCUAAAAUCUGAGCAUGUUGACAAUGGAGGUAGGUGAAUUCGUGAUAGAAGAGGAAGAAGAAAAUAAUAAUUGUGUUAUAUCAAAGUAUACAAAUGAGCUUUGUUUCUCAAAAUAAACAUCCUGAAUUCUACAAGGAUAAAAAUAGCAACAAAUAAACCAAAGUGAUCGUCUUAGUAAAUUCUAUUUUGUUUACUAGGUUAAUGUCACGCUUGUGGCAGGGAAGGGAUAGGACACAUCACAUGCAUAUCCAUUAUCCAUGAUGCAAGUGUAUGAACAUGCGUGAAGUAUGUGGGACACCGAAGAAUUAAGUAAGGCUCUAAAGUGUGGGCUAUAAAUUGGCCUAUACAUCAUUCUCAACAUGGUGCAGAAUGGCCAGACUGUCUUAGCUAUACCUUUGCUGGUUUGUCAGGUCAUUAUAACGGGUAGAUGCAGGUUAGUUAAUACAGAUGGAUGCAACGCUACUCCUAUAGAUAUUAUAAUAUGUGAGAUCGAUCGGAUGUGUACUUGUUUGAAUGGUUAUUCUUGCUUGUCAAGCCACUCUUUAUUUGUCUUUUCACAUUCAUAAUAGCUAAACAUCAGUCGCCUGAAAAUCCAAUUUGGUUUGUUCGAUUUUCGCUAGAAGGAAGCAGGUGCCAGAGGGAAGGAAGAAGCAGCUGCUGACUCGCCGGAGUGAAGGAAGGAGCUCCCUAGGAGGCUACCCCAUCAUCUAUCGUUGAUGAAGGGGGGAGGUAGGGGUGGCAGCACGGCGGUGGUGCAAGUUCGCCGGAGAAAAAACUGGUCAUUGCCGGGGCUGGAGGGAUGGCAAGGGGCAGCAGCAUGUCGGUGGGAGGAGGAUGAGGGGUGGGCGGGGCGGUGAGGCUGAGCAGGAGCGCCGCUGGCCGCGGGUGGUGGUGGUCGACGGUUCGGCCGGUGGUCCAUCUGGCGGUUGGAUGGAGAAGAAGAAAGUUGUCUGGAGGAUAAAGAAGUAAUCUGCACCGCCUGUUUUCCAUCCCAUGGCUGAAACGAAAUCAAAAGAACAUAACUGAAAAUUUAGUCGACUUACCACUAGCCAUUCCCUUCUACAUUCUAUGCAGGGCCGGCCCUGAGGGGGGGCAGAGGGGGCGGCCGCCCCGGGCCCCCAGGAUGCAGGGGCCCCCACCCAGGGUACGUAUACAUUAGCCAGCUAGGCUAAGCCCACUACGCACUAGGACAUGGGCUGAACAUGGAGACGCAGGCUGUGUCUAGCCUAAGGCACACAGCGGCUCGUUCCUCGACUCCUCAUCCGAUGUGUAGCUUGUAGCUGUAGCUUUGACCGCAUGCCUGUUUGGAUGCCUAAUUAUUCCCUUCCGAGUUGGUCAGAUCUAAUCGCGAGUUCGCUUCUUCAAGAGGAUCGCGAUCCUAAUCGCGAGUCGCCGUUUUAUCGGCGACCUUCGCUCCCCAAUCUCCACUGGAGAUGUCAUCCGUCGUCGCCAAGCGUAGACAUACAUCCAAUCCAGACCGCAUCCUCCAACAGAUCCCAGGUUUUAAUUACUAGUAUUCCCUAUCAGCUAAUUAAGUAAUUUAUCUUUGCAUACAUGAUGCCUAUAUUGCGCACAGCAAAGUGUCCUGUGUAUUGCUAUGGAUCCAAACUUGACUGAUACUUGUUCAAAAACUUUUUAAAAAACCUGGUUUUGUUAGAUAUAUUAGUAAAAAUAUGUUAGGUUUCACCCAGUGUAUAUAUCAUUUCUGUUACCAUAAAAAAAUGUUGUGCUAAUCGCUAAGCUAAUGAACUGCUGCAAUGCAGGGAGAUGAUUUUGAAAGCGAGCUUGGUUCAGGGUCUUCCAUUCAUGUUCUAUCAGGGCAACAGUUUUGGUAAUGGCCACUUCACUUGUCACGUUGUACUCAUUCAUGUAACACUCUACAGUGCUUGCCAUAUCCCCCUUGCAUUUUCGACGCUGUAUGAUGACAUCAAUAAUCAUCUUUAUGUAAGUAUGUAUCAAUUUAAUAAUCUUGCAUGCACUCACAAUGAUAGUACAAACUUGGUAACUGAGCCCUGCCCCCUUUUCCAUAGGUGCCAACACAUUUCGAUGUGUACAAAUUUAUAAAAAAAAUAGACCAAUGAAGUUAAGGUAGCAUCAUAAAAAUGACAUUGCUAAAAAAUAAUUCUAAGUAUAAUCCAUACUAUGAUAUUUUUUGUCAAAUAAAUCACAUUUUAGCACUCAAAUUGUUGGUCAAAAUUAUAUCUCAGUAUGCUUGAAAUUGAGCUUCUUACAUGUGUGAAAGGAGCAAGUAACAUGCAUGCAAAAAAAUAAUUUUGAAAUAUUAUAUAUAUAUACCUCAAAUGCACCGAUAUCAUUCAUGAAACGGGAAAUCUUCCCAACUGAUAUGACGACAUCCGGGACACUAGCAGCCCAUUUGAGCGCUGUCUUCAUCAUUGCAUCACUCAUUCCAGCCAUCAUACUCACACAUAUCGUUGGCACACCAAUGUUCAGACUAGUCAACUUGACCUGAUCUACAAAGCUUGGCUUGUGGUUCCUGUGUGACCAUUUCGCUUCUUGUAGGUAACCAGUCACGUUAUUUUGGACCUGCACACAAACAAAGAGAUGUAAUCCCAAAAUUAACGAGAAGAGAGAGAGAGAGAGAGAGAGAGAGAGAGAGAUGUUGUGACAGAAAAGGGUACAUGAACUUACCGCUUUUUUCAGGUGUGCUAUAUCGUAGUUCGUAUUGGCUAGCAUUUCAGCCUCAAUAUUCUCAAAUGUCCUCAGCAUCUCCAUAUAGAACUUCUUCAAGUACUCCGGCAGGAGAAAAGGGGCGCUCUUAUCCCAUCUUGAAGGCCAAUUCACAAAAGCAAUCUUAAUACAAGUUAUCGUAGUUUGAAAAUUCUUUGUUUGCAUGUUAACCUAACCUUUUAUUUUUCUAUACUCUUUAUCUUUCUUCAACACAGUAAGAACCACUAGUUUCACUUUGCUCCAUGAGGCAAAUAGUGUAACAUGACAUCAAAAUUUCAUUAUAGGCAAUAUAUCUCAUUUGUUACUGCAUUUAGAUUUUCUUUCAUCCAUAUCUUAUUAUGGCAACUUAUAUGUUUGUGUUAAUAAAAUAAUAAUCUAAUCAUGCAUCACAUUUUCAUUUGAAAUUGCAAUUGUAACCAGAUAGUAGUGAGCAUUAGCUCAUUACUUGUAUGUACCAAUGAGUGCUAUUGUGUUAGGACUUAUGAAAAUUUCAUGUCAACAUGGAAUUUUAGCUGUGGAUCUGCCCGCGCGCGUGGAUGGGGUGGGGGCACCGGGCAAAUUGAUAAUUCACCAUCGGAUUCAGCUCGUCCACCUCUGGAUGCCGUGAUUAUCCAAAGAAUAGUAAUAUGCUCCUGGUUUGAAGCAUUAUUUGUAUACCAUUUUUUUCUUGAUAGAAUUGCACUCUUAUGGUCACGGCAAUGCAGGGUCUUCAUUUACUUCUUCUUAAAUACUAAAAUAGUUAUUAUCCAGUACAUACAUGUUCGUAAUUACUUUAUCACUUCGAACAUCAUGGAAAAAUCACGUUGCGCACAUAUUUAUGACUGUGAUUGCGAGUGAUUCUAAGGACGUAUUGAUAUGAUAUGGAAUCGCUAUCUUAGUGGAAUAUACAUUAGAUGCAUUGACAAUUUGAGAGAUAAAAUGUAGAGCUAAAUCAAUCCCACCUUUGUAUUGCUUCAUGUAGCUUCCAACUGUCCUCUAGGGUGGCAUGGUUAUCAUAUAUGUCAUCUAAUGUGGUAAUUAGUACAAUCAUCUUUGUGAUCAUACUUCGAGUGAGCUCAAAUUUUGUGUCAUAGUACAACACAGAGGCCCAUGUAUAACCCUCCACCACACGAUCGCGGAUAAAGCUUAGCUCGAUAUAUCCUAAAAAAUGCUUCCACCACCUGUGAAUUAAUUAAGCAAUGUUAUCUGAACUAGUACAUAUAUUGUCCACAUAGAAUAUAACAUCGCUAGCCCCAUUAAGAGAUAAAAGAACAUUGGUCAAUUAUUACUAAAAGCAUGUGCAUUACUCUAUCACUACGCCAUUUAUGUAAUUAUCCUACAAUGCACAGAAAACAACGAAACACUAAAGCAUCAUGAACCAUUAAUGAAUAUGCAUUCUCAUAUUGAUGAAAAAAGGCACGUAAGCUCUUAAUUUAGAUGACGUUAAGCACUAGAAAUGUAGUGGUAACUAGACUUUUGGUUUUUUGUUUGUUUGAAGAUGUAGUAUGCGAGGGCAACCACCCGUGAAUCAUUAUUGGGUUAUAUAUUCUGUUUAUAUAAGAAAGAUAAAUAACAUACCUGGUAAUAGCUUUGAGCUCCUUCAAGUGGACAUUUUGCUGAAGGUUGAAAUCCAAUUUGGCAAGCUCCAGUAGGAUUGGGUUAUGCUCCUCUUGUUCGUACUCUAGGAUAUAAUGUAGCAUUUCCACCCUCUUAUUUGUCCUUGGCAUUGGUAUCUGAAGGGCACGUUGGACUUGUUGAGCAAGUGGGGUCUUUAAACUACCACUACAUGACUCAAGAUGAUGCCUUGCAAAAGCUAUGGCUUCUUCAAGUGCUGGCUCACCAUGAAAUAGAAGAUGAGAUGCAUUGUAUAGACAUAAUAGUGUCCUGGGUUCAUUUGUUAUAUCAUUAAUGAAGCUUCCAUCUUCACUUUUGAAUCGAUUGAAAACAUCUGUAAUCAAUAAAUAAAUGUUGGUGUUCUCGUGACCACAUUGUCAAUGGAGCUUCUAUUGUUGUAGACAUGCCGUCCACAUUAUGAAAUAUUUUGCAAAUAAGGUCACCAAUCUAAUCUUGAUAACUCAAUUUCUUAGCCAGUUAAAAAUUUGCAUAUCAUGAUUUUUCUUCCAUAAUUUUUCGUAACCAACUAUGCAUAACAAGAAAAAAUUGUUAGGAUUAUAUAUACCUGGAGAUACACAGUAUCCAUGUUCCCUCAGCAAGCGAAACCGAAGGGCAACUUCAUAGAGGUUGUAGUUACUAAAUUCACUCUUCAGGAUUUGCCACAUAGCGGUGUCAAUCUGGUCUUCAAAGAGGUGAUCGAUUCCGAGAUGUUGUAGUUUAUCCACUAAGGACAUUUUUACCACUGUGUCAUUGCUGGAUUUAAACAACAUACAUAUGUCUUCCUUCAGUUUUUUUGCCCUAAGCGUCAUCCACUGCUUGGAUUUCUGCAAUGCAAGCAUUGAACAUUUUUAAUUAACCAAAAGGGACAAGGGUUAGCUAGGUAAAAAAAUGUCGCCAAAACCAAAAAUAGUUGAAAAAAUCUAACAACUCGUAUCUCCAGUGAAAGAAAAUGGACCAAAAGUACAUGACUGUAUAGAAUAACCAUAUAUCCUUUCACUGAGUCCAACUUUCCAACAUAUGCCAACCAAAGGCUACCCACAUGUAUCUUCCAAGGGUGUCGGUCGUGGCCAGCAUAUUUAAUUUCAAAAGCAUGCAUGUGGUUUCAAGUUGUUUCCACUCAAGCAUGGAGUUACACUAGACGAUUUACUUAUGACUAUGAGUGGUGUUGAUGAUAUACAAAAUAGACAUCCAAAAUAUGACAAAUUUCUACCGCCGGAUAUGUGAAAUAUAAAGUCUGUACACAUAUUCAGAUACUAUAAGAAGUGUCGACUAGUGAAGUACACACGAUAAGCAACCGGUUGACAUGGAUCUCUAGAGGAGCACGGAUGGUAAUUAGAAAUGUGUUCCUACUUGGGCCCGCAAGUGGUGGGUGCAUGGUGUACAUUUUGGCACCUCUUGGGCUGGCCCAGCGUAGGCCGGAGUAGUAGAUACUAGUACAAAAACGCAUACAAUAGUUACAAAUAAAUACCUCUGUGCAUGGUGACAUUUUGUGCCAUAAAUAGUUAGCUUUUAUUAUAUACCUGUAACGGCGGUGGCUCAUAUCCAGCAAAGAAGUCGAUCCAUGGUGAGGGCUCGUAGCUGAACGCAGGAGUAGCAGCAUUGCCGGACGCCAUAGAAAUUAACAGUUGCUUCUUUGUUUCAUAGGUUUAGUAGCUUGGGAUAUAGAUAGCUUUGUUUGGGGAGGAAGGAGAAUGUGUGCGUGAGGCCUUUAAAUAAUGUCCACGCAAUGGCAGGUCCAUGCAUAUUUCUCAUCGUUAGCAGCCGGCCGGCCGAACUAUAAAGGCGACUGCAUGCACUACUAAUCUACCUACCUUCCGGUUGAUUAUCCGGUAGUGCCUUUAGACCCGCCCGAUUGAUGGACAUAAAAUCAUCUAUUUCCAACGUGAAGAAAUCUAUUUUAGCUUGCUAUAUUUGUGGCUUGCACUGUUCCUUAGUCAUUUUGUCUGUUUUUUACAUGUCACAUAGUAUUGUCAUGUUUAUGUUCAGAAUUUACAUCCACAUACUUGUAACCAUCCUCUCUAUACAUGAAUCUUUUGUAUUCAUUUAUUUUGAAAAUUGAAUAUUUAUCUUAUUUUUUGGCAGUUUGGAUAUACCUCAGAUCAGAAUAUUCUAGCCCUUUCUGGGUGCGGUUGUUUGUUGUACAUAUACUUAAUAGAAAAAAACUGGUUGCCAAAUUUACAUUCAAUUUGUGUUGUAAUCCAAAAUAUCACACUAAUUUAAACUUGAUAGAGCAUGUAAAAAUAACAAUUCAAAACUAUGUUAAUUUGUGUAGAAUGUACAAAGAAAAAUAAUGGACCUGCCAAAGUUAAAUCAAAGUUUACUUUCAGGAAUGUAUUUCUUGUCGCAUGUAUUAUAUUUAUCUUCAUAGGAUGGAUCGUUGGUCAAAGACCAUGGCAGCCCCUAGAUUGCAUCUCAUAGCAGACGCACCAGGAGCAUUACAGAGUUAGCUCAAUGCAUGCAAUUGGCGUGACAAUGUAUAGUCAGCAAAACACUGAUGCCAAUUGUUGUGAUCACUCAUCAUGCAUGCAGGUCUCUUAUGCAUAGAGCCAAUAAUCCAUUGUACAUCAUUUUUCGAUUAUACUACAUCAAGUUUAAGAUGAAUGCAUGAUGCGUAUUAGCAGUCGGGCGAAUUAUACUAGAUAGUCCCUCUUCUGAUUUAUAAGGCCCAAGUGUAUCCCUAAAUUAAUCGUUUAAUCAAAGUAACACCAAAUGUAUAUCACAAAUGGUAUAUAUUUAGAAGUUUUCUAUGGAUUAUUUUUAUUGUGAUAUAAUACUAGCAUUAUGUUGGUCGAAUUGAUGAUUAUUCAGUACAUGUGGGCCUUAUAAACUGGAGAAUGAGUACAAUGAAAAUACUGCUAUUCUACUACAUGAUUGAACUGUGUGUUGUGCUUGCUGCCGCUUCCUGCAGAGGAAGGAUAGGUAGUCACAUGUGCCUGCUCCACCAUCAGAGACCCAGGGAGUACAAAAAAACUCUAGAUAGCUAACACUAAUAAUUUAGGGCAUGCAUUCAUUACCAUCGUUAUGCCAUGUUAUUAAAGUAUCAUAGCUUGACGGCAACUCCCCCUACCUAACCAUAGCUGCCCGGUCCAAGAUCUUAACUAUUUUUACCUGUGAUCCAUCGCCUCUACUAAGUCGUGAGGUUGGGAGAUGCAAACAUUAUAGCUUUUAUUUGAGGUCUUUUUUUUCUUGACUAUGUCAACAACACCAGCGCCUUGCGAAAUACUAGUUCUCCUUCUCCUUAAGUUGUCCUUCUAUGUUGAUCUAGUUUUCAGGAUCAUGUGGUCUAGUAAACAAUGCUAGGGAUUUUCGUUCAUGGUGUGUUGAAUAAACUUUGUGCCCUAUUCCAGAUGGGGAGGGAAUUCAAGAGUUUUUAUUUGCUGAAGAUAAAGAUAAAACAUUUUUUGCUAAAUGAAAAGACAAGCCCACACAUGAGAUACCUUCGGGAACAUUUAUCCUUGGUCAAAUACAACGGCCCGCAAAUUGCAGCGAUGUUUUGUAUAAUUGAAGUUUCAUGGAUCUUAUAGCAGUCUCUCAUGGAUCUUAUAGCAUCGUUGGCUCGGCAGCGGUGGCGGCCGAUUCCCUCGAGACUAAGGCAUAGUUGAGGAUUUACCGCCUGGGCCGGUUGAUCCGGCAGCCAUGAGGUGAGGCGGUAGGACCAGUGAUAUGUAUUUGUCAGUGUGACGGCUCGUUGCCAUUCAGUAGUUGCGGUGGUGCGGCAGUGCGAGCGACGGAGGGCGCGGUGGAUCUGACUUUUCAGCGGUACAGUGGUGGCGUCUUUGGCCGGAAGCGGCCGGAUUCGAACGGAUUUGGUAGCAGCAGCUGAGUGGGACGGGAGGCUUUUCUGCAUGUUCACCUAAGGGAAUGUUCCGGAUGGUGGUUUGACUGCACGCGGCUGCGUUUUUGUUUCGCGGCUGCGCAUGGUGUUGUAUAGUUGCAACACAAGAGGGUGUAUUUUAGGGCUGCCUCUAGUUAGGACCACAAAAAUAUAGAGAUUGGGAAGCUGUUGGAGUACCGUUUUUAUGUCAAAAUGUCGUAAAGAGCAUUUUCUUUGCGCCUCUACUAUAUUUUAAAUCACGUAUUGGAGAUGCUUUAUGUGUGUUCAUUUUCUCCAUAGGUGUCGCCGCCUCCUUCAAAUACUUGCCCCUAAGUGUAUGCAUAUGAGGGCAAAUAUUGGUGGUGCACGAGUCAGGUGAAGGUGCGACCUGGUGCAGCUUAAGCCAUUUGCGAGCGGGUGCAUGGGACGGGUCGUUGACACUUAGGCUGGUCUGGCUCAGCCAUUCGACCGGUUUGGGUGCAGAGAAAAGGAUGGAAAGAGGGAAACUUUGACAUGGCGUAACCAUGACGGGGCUUUUGUUCACCCUCGAUUUAGCAGAUUUUGUCUCCUACAAAACUAUUGGUGCAGGAAUUCAAAAGUUUUAGUUUUCUCUAAGAUGAAGCCGUUGUGCAGGUAAUAUGGUACUGGUUCCUAUUUUGCAUGUCUGUCGUGGUUGUGGUUGUGGAAAUUACUUCAUCUAUCGUUUACUAGAGAAUUUUCUGGGUCUUGUAAUUCGUUUGGUAACCGUUCUUUUGUUUGGUUUAUCAGCCUAAUGCAAUGUGCCAGUUUCUCAGCAUAGGCCGAGUAGGUGGGUUUCUUUUCGUUUGGACGUGUGGUGCUUAUGAGAUCGCAAACUGGCUACAAAGAAAAGGACAUGUACGCGGUGUAAUUUGUGCACUGCUUCUCUUGCCACAUGUUUUAUUGUUAUCUUUAUAUAUAUGAUUGAUACUUUGUCAAAGAUAACAUCGUCUAGAUUGCAUCCACUUUUCAUAGCAGCCGCACCAGCUGGAACAGUAUAAGGCACAUACCAUCGUGAGUGUGACAAUCAGGCCUAUCUUUAUGUAGUUGUGACCACUCAACGCAUGCAUGCGUCCACGUUUCUCACCGUCAAGUAGCAGCCGGAGGAAUCCGGUAUAUGAUCUUGUGCGUACUGGGAAUUCGGUGCGACGUCCACUAGAUCGACUUUAAGAUCUGCUCUUCACUGGGAAUGUUAGCAGCCGGUUGAAUCAUUUUUAGUAUACAUGCCAUGACGUCUUUAUGUUCUGCCCCACUAGUUCAAGAUCCAUGCAUGCAUUCAUACUCUAUUUUUAGCAGCCGAUAGGAGUCACCUUCAACUACAAUGUAUUGUUAGAGGGUAAUAUAUAUGGACGAAAACGUCACAGGACAGUCGGACAUCAACAAAUUACCAUUAGAUUAGAUAGACACGUCUCACCUCCCUGCGUGCCCGCACACUUUGUACCAUGCUAAUUAAUUGUAUGUGAGUAAUUUAAUGUGUUGCUACCUUGGAAAUGUAGUUGCAUUCAGACACAAGAGGAACAUAAAGUAUUUGUAAGGGCCUCCUUUAAGUUGACAGGAUAAUCCUCCAUCUGUGCCAAACGAAGCUAGCAAUCACAUUGCGCCAUGAAUCUAAAUUUGGCCUCGCGAGGGUGAGCUAACUCCUAUUCAGAUGGCCACGGGUCUAAGCGGGGAAAAAGAAGAGAAAUAAAGGACAACUACCAUGCAGCCUACACUCGAACCCAUGGUGAGGAUGUGAGGAAAAAGAAUAGGAAAAGACUCUGUGUUGUGGCCCUAGAAAGCUCUAAGGAUCAGUUUUGUUUGCAUCCUCAUUGUUUCAAGCCUGGCCUGGAGCACGCAUGUGAUCUUCCUGGGCGGUGUUUGUUUAGUUCCUGGAAAAGAUCGUAGUGCCCGGGCCUGGAUAACCAAACAUGACCAGCUAUUAGUCUACCAGGCUUCUGAAUUCCUGGUCCUGCGCACCGGCUAAUAGCUGCCUGGCCUCUAAUACUAGUAUAGGGACUUGUGCCAACCAGUAGGACUCUCUUUAGUUUUUGUGCGGACAUUUAUUCCUUAGUACGAGUACAUCAGUCCAGGUAGGAACCAAACACAUCUCUGCCUAGCUUGCCUGACCAGGCACGAAAGAGAAAAUUCCCAGGCAGAGUACAGGCAGCAAUAUUCUUCAGGCAUGGUGUCCAGGGUAGUAACCAAACUAGCCCUAAAUAAAAAUAUCUAUGACCAAACAUUAUGCAUGUACGUAGGAGGCAAAACUAGGCGUCAAACUGACUUCUAACGUCGGCUCAAUAUCAAAAACAUCAUAUAUAUUCUUGUAAACCUGAUAGAGUAUGUGACAAAAUUAAAAAUCAAUUAAAACAACAAAUUCCUGGUAGCUAGCAUUCAUAACUAAAAGGUACCUUUCUUUUGCUAUUUUCAGGUCUUGUAGUUCAGUUAGUAAUCGAUGUUUUGCCUGAUUUAUUAGUUUAAUGGAAUAUGUAGGUUUUACGUCAUAGUUCGAGUACGACAGUGCUUUCUUGUAACAAGUUUUAGUGUUAUCUACGUAUGAUUGAUACUAGGCCAAAGACAAUGCUGCCUAGAUUGCAUAGAUGUUUCACAGCAGCCGCUCCAACCAAAACAUUGCAUGGCUAGAUUACAGAAAGGCACAGAUCAAUCAUGGGCGUGACAAUGCAUAUAGUAAUCAGGUAUAUCUUGCACGUACUUCGUGGGUGUGACACGCAUUAGAUGCAUGCAUGGCGCAUGUUAGCAGCCGGACGAAUGCUGGUGGGAUGCAUGCGAGUUCAAGACAAUCUGCUCCAUAAUUGCGCUAAUGCAUUCAUGUUUGUUGCUUUGUUAGCAGCCGGCGGAGUCACAUUCAACUAUAAUGUUUUAUUUAGAUAUACGGAUGAAAACAUCACAAGGCAGUCACCACUCAAUAGUAUAGUAUUAAGAUUGACACCGCAGUCACCAUUCAUAUAGUCAUUUGCGGUGGCAACUAAAAGAUAUAAUAAAUUUGUUGAGAAAUAUAGGUGCGCUUUGACACAAGAAGAGCAUAAAUAUUUUAAUGCGCCUUCUUUGAGUUAGGGCCAUAGAUAUCUUGUUCCAUGUCCACCAACCGAACCUAGCAAUCACAUUCUUCCAUAGAUCUAAACAAAGAAAGAUAGAAUUAAAAUAUGAUAAGUGGUAGCAUAGUGUCUGUUACUGGUCUGCCCAUGAUGUAUUAAGCAGCACUAUCAGCUUGGUGGGCAAUUAAACAAGACAUGAGAGAGAGAGAGAGAGAGAGAGAAAACAAGUGCUGGGUCUAUGCAAUUACCGUAGUCCUUUCAGAAAAUGAGUGACUGAGAUAAUUGUUUUUCUGUGAAAUCUUAUGAGUAGGGCGCACAUUUCCUUUUGAUUCAUAAUAAAAAACAGUUUAUUUUAUGAGAAAAUGUUGGUCAAUAGACUAAACCAGAUGUGAACAGUGCAAAAGCUCAGAGAGUAGAAAAACAUCAAGCUACAUUUGGCCUACAGCAUGCCAAGUCAGUAACCUAGUGCUGCUUGCACGUUUGAUGCACCCAUGAAUGCUUGGGCGAGGCCAUUACUGUUAGCAAAGUCGGUCCAAAGGAACCGGAUCUAAUUUGAUAAACCUAGCAGUACAUCUUCCAAAAGGAUCCAAAAGAAACAAAUAAGAAGAAAUUAUAGGUCAGUCCUUGCAUUUUACACGGAGGAUAUCAGACCAUGAAACUAGUUUGAAAUUUGGUCCAUACAACAUGCAUCAAUACAGUAACUAACCCAUCGUCACCAGGGGCAAUUUAAAAAGUGCAAACUUCGUGUUUUGGUACAAUCAAUAGUUUGUGUCAUCCACCAUAAUAUAUUGCAAGUUCAAUGAGGUUCUUUUAUUCUUAUUGGUGCAAUGAUACAUAUUGGUAUACAUCAACAAAAGUACAGACAUAUCUACGUGGCAAUGCACGUCCAUCUAUGUCUAUGUGGCAUGGAAACCUCCACGGGAAAUAGGUAUCAAUUGUAGGUCAUAUUUUCUUCCUACGAUGAUCCCAUAUUUCUCGGUCAUGUCCAAAAAUUCCGGGUUUGCCUUGCCAGGAAGCACCCAGUCGAAGUGGUAGAGAAGAUUUGCCAAGGCGAUCUCCAU
rnacentral:lncRNA from 1 species